CAUGAAAAACUGGAUGAAUACGGCUAGAUGCUGGCAACUGUAAGCGGUAGGCCACUUCCCCGAUCUUCUCCAGAAUCAAAAACGGUCCAAAAUACUUGAAAGCAAGUUUGUGAUUUGCUCUGUGUGCCACCGACGACUGCACAUACGGCUGGAGUUUGAGGAACACUCGAUCACCCACAGCAAAUGUUCUCUCCGUGCGCUUCUUAUCAGCUUGUUGUUUCAUUCUCUGUUGAACACGCAACAGAUGCUGGCGCACUGACUGUUGCACCACUUCCCUGGCAUCCAACCAUUGUUGCAGAUCAACAGGAUCGACUGCAUCCGAAGCUGAUAUACCAAAGUGUCUAGGACUAUGGCCAUAAAGGACCUCAAAAGGAGAUUUAUUGAGUGCUGAAUGCCAAUUUGUAUUGUACCAAAACUCACAAAGAGAAAUCCACCUUGCCCAUUUCUUGGGGUGAGCACUGAUGAAACAUCUCAGGAAGCAUUCCACUUGCUGAUUGACACGCUCUGUUUGACCAUCUGUCUCUGGGUGAUAGGUUGUGCUCAUGUUAAGAACAGCUCCUGUCCUUCUCACCAAUGCCUGCCAAAACCUGCUAGUGAACACAGGGUCCCUAUCUGACACAAUAUAACGAGGCAUGCCAUGAAGUUUAUAGAUAUUGUCCAAAAACAAUUCAGAAAUCUUCUGGGCAGUGUAUGGAUGUUUGACAGGAAUAAAAUGCCCAUAUUUGGUAAACUUGUCUAUAACCACCAUGAUGCAAUCAUAUUGAUCAGAAGAGGGUAGGCCUGAGAUGAAAUCCAUCGUGACAGUUUCCCAAGCUUUUGCAGGAACAGGUAAAGGAGAUAGCAGUCCUAGAUAUGCCACUCUCUCUGGUUUUGCUUGCUGACAGACUAGACAGGGCUGUACAAACUGAUGUAUUUGUUUCUUCAUACCAACCCACUUAAAGAGUGCUCUAAUUCUUUUGUAAGUGACAGGGAACCCUGAAUGACCAUCCAAAGGAGUGUCAUGGAAAGCCUGACAAAUUUUGACAUGCAACUCAUUGUCAUUGCCCACCCAAAUGCAGCCUUUGUAUCUCAACACUCCCUGGCAUAUCUUGAAAUUGCUGUUGGAAUGUGGCUUCACUGAUAGUUGUUGCAGCAGUUCUUGAGCUUUAGGAUCCUGUCUGUAGGUGCCAAUAACCUCUUCAAGCCAACUAGGUUUGACACCAGAAAUUGCUAGCACCACAGAAUCUUCCUGGGGUCUUCUAGAGAGAGCAUCCGCUGCAGAAUUGUCAGACCCUUUUUUGUAAACAAUCCUAUAAUUAAGCCCCAUCAUUUUUGUAAGUGCUUUUUGCUGCCAAGGGGUGUGCAACCUCUGAUCAGUCAAAUUAACCAGACUCCUCUGAUCUGUUUUGAUGAUGAAUUCCUGGAACUGCAGAUAUGGCCUCCACUAUUCAAUGGCUAAUAGAAUGGCUAAAUAUUCCUUCUCAUACACAGAUAAACCUCUAUUCCUAGGCCCUAAUGCUCUGCUGACAAAAGCAAUGGGAUGGUCUUGUUGCAUGAGAACAGCCCCAAUACCAACAUCACAAGCGUCAGUCUCAACCACAAAUUGUUUGGAAAAAUCCGGUAAGGCUAACACAGGAGCAUUAACAAGAGCUUCCUUCAGAGUUUGGAAAGCUAGCUCUGUAGCUGGUGUCCACACAAAAAUAGUCUCCUUUUUCAGCAAAUCAGUCAGGGGCCUACUAAUCAGUCCAUAGUUUUUUAUAAACUUCCUGUAAUAUCCAGUUAACCCCAAGAACCCUCUGACUUGUUUGACAUCAGCAGGCACUGGCGAAUUCUUAACAGUUGCAAUUUUACUGGCAUCAGUAUAAACUCCCUUGUCACUAAUGACAUGACCCAAAUAAGCAAUCUCUUGUUUAGCAAAAUCACACUUGCUCAAUUUGAUUCUCCACUGUUUUUCUAACAGAGUGCUCAACACCUUCUCUAGAUGUAUAAAAUGCUCCUUGAGGGUCUUGCUGAAUAUAAGAAUGUCAUCAAAGAAACAUACUGCACACUGGUCCUCUCCUCUCAGAACUGGGGCUAAAUCUGUGUUCAUUGCUCCUUGGAAGGUAUUAGGUGCUCCAGUCAGACCCAUAGCUACUACAGUGAAUUCAUAGUGGCCAGAAUGUGUUUGAAAAGCAGUUUUAAAUUCCUCUCCUGGUGCCAAUAUGAUUUGAUGAUAUCCAGCUCUAAGGUCUAACUUGGAGAACCAACAAGAACCAGCAAGUUCAUCCAAUAACUCAUCUAUGACAGGAAUAGGAUACUUACUUUUCAGUUUGAGUGCAUUAACAUGUCUGAAAUCAAUGACCAGCCUCCAAUCUCCCUCUUCCUUCUUCUUGACCAUCAAAGCAGGAGAAGAGAAUGGACUAUUACUCACUUGGAUCAGACCUUCUUUUAACAUUGUCUGCACUUGCUUUUCCAUUUCAGCCUUUAAGUGGGGAUGAAUUCUGUAAGGUCUGAUAGAUACUGGUUGUGCCCCUGGUAUUAAAGGUAUGCUAUGGUCAAAUUUCCUUCUCGGGGGCAGUCCCGUAGGUGGAGAAAAAACCACUGCAUAUUUGUCCAGUAGAGCUUGAAUUUCUGGUAUUUGCUUCCUUUGUUCAGAACUGGUGUGUUAAAAAAUAGCUAAGACAGUAAAAGCACACUCCUCAGGUAAUUCUCCCUGUAAGGUAACUGUAGCCCCCUUGUAUUGGAAUGAGAGCCACUUCUGGUCCCAGUCAAUGUACAUGGGACUAUGUUUUGCUAGCCAAUCUAAACCCAGAAUACCAUCAUAACCACCUAGGGAUAACAGCCUGAAAUCAUGAAAGAAAUUCUGUCCUUGACAACCCCACUGACACUGUUUCACUUGUUGAGAACAUCUCAGUUUCCCUCCACCGGCUACCUUGACAGUGACUGCCUUAAUUUCAGUAACUUCUGAUAGAAUGUGGAGUAGAGAAUUAUCCAAAAAGGAAUGGGUGCUGCCUGAAUCAACCAAAAACUUAAGUUCUGCAUCCUUGAUGUUCACUGGCAAUGACAAAGACAACACAGAUACAAUGUUACCAGUAGCAGCUGCAGACAACAACAUUAAGUUAUCAGAGUCACUAUCUGAAUCCUCAAUGGAAGGAGAGGAACUCUGCAACUGUUCAAUGAGCUCCUGUACCACAUGUAACUGAACUGUGGAUUUGCACUGAUGAUCCUUGGACCAUUUCUCCCCACAAAUGAAGCAUAACCCCUUUGCCUUCCUGUAAUUCCUCAAGGAUGUCCAUUUGUCUUCAGUUGAUUGUGUCCUGUGACUCUUAGUAGGUUUCCUCUCUUCCACGGAUUUGGCCUUAUACUGAUACUGACCAGUUGAUGCUGUGCUUCUUUUGACAGUGUUGUACUGCAUCUCUCCCAGUUCCUCAUGAAGCAGAGCCAACUCAUAAGCGGUGUCAAGGUCCCGGGGUUUUUGCAUAGCUAUCGCCAUUCGCACCCCUGGUUUCAACCCGUCUAUGAAUCGGGUGGUGUAAUGCAAUGGAUCGGGAUUGCUUUCAUAUGCCGUGAGCUGGUCAUACAACUCUGCAAACUGAUCCACAUAUUCCUCGACAGUUCCAGUCUGGUUGAUUCUGAACAUCUUACGCAACAUGUUCUGAUGCAAAUUACGGCCAAACCUUCCUUGCAAUAGGUUACAAAAUUCAGUCCAAUGCAGAUCUACAGUCUUCCUCUGCAUCGACUCCAACCAGCGAGCGGCUGCGCCUUCAAACUGAGCAGUAGCAUAUGAAAUCCACCUGCUAUUAUGCGUACCCCACAACUUGAAAUAAUCCUCACACCUCGAUUGCCACAGUCGUGGAUUAGAGCCAUCAAAUCGUGGCAAUUCGACCCGGGGGCCUGAACUGAACUGACCCCCUUGAUCCAGAACCACCAAGUCACGAGGAGACUGAACAUCGCGUGGAGAUGACAGUUCACGCAUACCUCGGGCCGGGGGAGGAACGUAGAUGUUGUGAUUCCUCGCCUCUCGACUGGUUGAGGGGCCUCCCGCUCGCCCGUCGUAGUCGCCCUUGUCCCCCCGCUCCAGAUCAGAGCGGAUCUGCUCAAUAUCGAGAUGGAGCUCGGAGCGGACGCCAUCGACGCGGGCGGAGAUGAGGCCAUCCAAGGUCUUGGUCGACUCCUGAAGCAGCUUCGUCAUGGACUUGAGGAGCUCGUCGUUGUGGGAUUUGAGGCGCUACUCGAGAUCGUCAGCGUGGCGGUCUUGACGCAGUCAUGGAUAUUGCGGCCCUCCGCCGACAGGUUCUCCAUGGCCUCUCGCCGGCGGAAUUCCCGGAACCUGGUGCGGUGCGGGUGGCGAGGGAACUCCAGGACAAAACGGCUCUGAUGCCAGAUGUAAGCUACUGAUAGUGGAUAUUCGAAUCAGGGGGAGGAAUUCGCCAUUGCUAGCCGUACAAGCACACACGCUACUAGCGAGGUUCGGCCGAAGCCACCAGAUCCAUCCCGAGUCCACACGCUACUGUAACAACGAUUAUAUCUCACGUACACCCUUAGCGGGCCCAGUUUGGGCCUGCAAGCCACUGGGGAAGAUAUCGAUCGCGAGUGGGCCAAGUCGGAGGCCCACGAGUCAAGUCCUUGCCUUCACGCGCUUCCUUCUGACCUGCCUCGAUGCCUUGAUCGCUGACAGUUACUCCCGUCUUUCUCUCAAGAAUACAGUUUUGAUUUAUUGCUAACUACUCUACUCCCUCUCGUCUAAAAUAAUUAGAGUUUUAUGAUUGUCCUAAGUAAAAAAAACUUGAUCAAAUAUACACAAAUACCCUCUCUAUAAAGAAAUACUCCCUCCGUUCCUAAAUAUUUGUCUUUCUAGAGAUUUCAAUAAGUGACUACAUACGAAACAAAAUGAGUAAAUCUACACUCUAAAAUAUGCCUAUAUACAUCUGUAUGUGAUAGUGCGUUUGAAUCUCUAAAAAACAAAUAUUUAGGAACGGAGGGAGUAUAAGAUUGCUUAGAUCACUAACUAGGGUCCAUGUCAUCGCCCUAAACACUAUAACAAAGGGCAAUGCUACACGUCCGCCGGAUGAUAAACUGAUAAUAUCAUCCGCCUCGGCAAUUGUCGGAUGCCGCCCGAAACACCGCCCGAUCUACCAUCCCAGCCAACUGGGCGCCUUCGCAACAGCUAGCUUGUUGCACUCAUGGCUUUGCAACAAGGACCUUGUUGCAAAGGUCCAUUGAGACAGCAUCACUGCCCCGCCAUGGCCUAAGUGCCUCGGCCAUGGAGCGUCGCCGGCCGCCGGAAUCGACGCUCCUCCUCCGAACCAGCACCCCGAGCAGCUGCCUCUACUCCAGCACGACAAUGAUGAAGUCUCACGCCGGGCACUUCUCUAGCAAUUUCUGCAACCGAAGCUAUGUUUCUGAAACAUGUGUCUUGUUGCAAUGCUUGCCCUUGUACGCUCUAACCCGGUGCACUCAUUCUGCGCUUUUUGCAACCGGGGCUAUGUUUAUGAAACAAUACCCUUGUUGCAGAAGUGAAAAUAUUGAUCAUCGAACCAUUUUUCUUCUUUCUGAAACAAGUCCUCUAUUGCGGAAACUUUCUAAAAUUAAACCCUGUUGCCCAAAGAAAAACUUCACCAUCAAACAUUUAUUUCUUUCUGAAACAAGAUCUCUGUUGCAGAAAGCUUUCGAAACAAGACGCUUGUUGUAAAAAAAAACUAGCUGCACGGGACUGGUCGCCGGUGCGAGCGCUCGAUCAAAAUCAAUCUAACGACAAUACAGGCGGCGGAUGUUGUGCGGGCAUCAGCCGGCUGAAGGUUAGCAUUUUCCCUAAACAAAACAGACAUAUUCUUCUACCGAUAUGGUUGGCCCGGGAUUUUAUGAACUCACCCAGGUCUAGGCCUGCCACUCAGGUCCCAAAGCCUAACAAACAAAACUCCAUCGAAAGCGGGUAUCAGGACAAGUGAAGAAAAUAUAGAUCCCAGACUUCGGGACGCAACAAAAAGACACACAUCAUCGCAAGGCCCAUACCGUUUUGCCACCUUCGUCCUCAAGGGAGGCGAUCCCACGGAAGCUACCAUAGGUAAUCUUUAUCAACGAAAGAGAUGCUUACCACAAGAUUGGGGGCAACGGCAAAGGGCAUGAUAUGGUAGCUUCCGUGGGAUAUGUGAGCAUACAGAAACACUUGGUAUUUCUCUAAAAUUUACUGCACCAAACACACCCCUCUUUAAUUUUGAAGAUUCAGUUACUCCCAAUAGGUUUGCGUCUUCUAAAUCAUGCAAUUCAAAGAUGCCCUUAGUUCAGCAGCUCGGAGUGACGCGUCCCCCAUCGGCCCAUCCUGUCAAAAUGCUGCCACAUCGGCCGUCCUCCACGCCCACGAGCAUCGUUUUUUUAUAUAAGGCAAAAGAUUUACCAUUUUCAUUGAUUAAGGAAGAAGAUUUUAGACAACUAGCCGCAAAGCGGGGAACAAAGAACUACUCUCGUGGCAUUACAAUAUUCAAAUGGGUGGCACCUGCCAAAGCCCAAAGAUGGGCCUCCUCUUUGAUCUUCGCGACGAUCGUCAUCGUAGUAGCGGCGGUGUUGCGAAAGACCCUCGCAUUGCGCUCUUUCCAAAUCUCCCAAGACAUAACAUGAACAAGGAGGCGAUUGCCUUUCUCUGGUUUCCACGCUCAAUCACAUUUUUAAUCCACCAUUCUCGACGAAACCUCAAAUCUCCAGCUCCUCACCACAUCACCAUGUAGGCCAAUCCACGCAGCAACCUGUACCCAAAUACGUUGGGAGAACCUGCACUGGAAGAGAAUAUGCGCCGCGGUUUCCUGAACUUGCUUGCAAAGCGGGCAAAGGUUGUAGUUUGGCCAGCCAUGACGGAGCAAUCGAUCGGCCGUCCAUACUCUGUUUUGAAUUAUCAACCAAGCAAAAAACUUGCACUUCGGAGGGGCCCAAACCUUCCAAACAGCAGUAGGCAUGAUGCUAGUUGUGUGUCCUGCAAACUACGUCAUAUAGACAGUAGACGCCGAAUUCUUCUUGAGUGGCGAACUUUCGAUGGAUAGUAUCUUGCACACUAUUGUUGAGAAUAACAGAGGAUAGUUUCUCCGAAAGUGUGCUCCGGGGUGAUUCCAUUAUGGAUAUCAAUCUGACUAACCCGCCCACGAGCAUCAUCACCUGGUCCUCCUCUCAGUCGCCGUCCCCGUCACUGGCUCGCCUCCUUCUCCAUGUCCCUCCAAGCGGCCGCCGCCAGCGUCAAGGACUAGUUGCGCCACCAGAAGAUGCGACCCGACCCCGGCUGCCCGGCGGCGCCCCCCCGCCGAGGAUCGCUGACAGGAUGAAAAGCCCCCAGAUGAUGCGCAGAAGGUACUGAACGCCCUGCCCCUUGAGCGCGCGCCUCCACCGCCGCGUCGGCGUGGUCUCCAGGUAGGGUACUUCCACACAGCGCGCUUCGGCUUCUCGGAGUCGGAGCUCCGGCAGGUCGCCGUCGACCUAGCCUGCCCUGUGCUGCCGCUUACGGUCACACCCAUUUCACAAAGGAAUCCAUGCCAGCCACGUUUCACCAUUGAAUAGGAAAUUGUGCUAUGCUUGCGUUGCUCCCUCGCACACUGAAGAAAUCGAAGAAUUCGUUGAUUUGGGAUUGCUUGCCAAUGUACUACUUCGGUGACACAUUUUUCCUGCUUAUUUUGCAGGUUUCUGCAGCGCUUGAUGCUCUUGUCGACAUUGCCGAUGGAAGAAUAGAUAUCCACGUCCUCAUGGCUCUUGCAGCAUUUGCUUCUGUGUUUAUGAGGAACUCAUUGGAGGGUGGCCUGCUUCUUGCAAUGUUCAGCUUAGCUUAUAUCGGUACAUAUGUUGACAAAUACUGAAACUCUGCCCAUAGUAGCUCUUGUUUGUGUGCGCACUGAAAACUUGUUUUAUUUGCUUAUUAUAGCCGAAGAAUACUUUACGAGGAAGUCAAUGGUUGAUGUGAGAGAACUGAAGGAAAACCAUCCAGAAUUUGCACUUUUAUUAGAAACGAGUGGAGAUAAGUCAACACGGUUUUCUAAUUUAAGUCAUACCAAGGUUCCUGUGCAGGACCUUACAGUGGGUUCUCAUAUUUUGGUCAGAGCUGGUGAGGUGUGUUCUUUGUUUAUAUACAAAGUCCACUCCUUGUAUCUCCAAGUUUUGUUUCAUUGCAUCAUGUCUUCAUGGUUGAUAGCUAUCUUGAUGUUUCUAUCUCUUUCUGUUGGAUAUUCUGUUAGUGUUUCUAGCAGUAAAGUGGCACUCCCUCCCUUCCAAAGUAGAUGGCCUUGCUUUUUUGUUCUAGAGUACAUGUAUUUUAUAGUUUUGGGGCAAAUAUUUAGUGAUACUCUCUAUUAUGUCCUUCGUUUAAUGCAUGCUGCAGUUAGGCUAGUAUAGUCUCUUAAACACAUUUCUUAAUUUUCUUGCCAAGAGCUCAGGCGCCAUUAAAUUGGAAUAGAGGGAGUAUAUCCUAGUGUCUUCUUUUCUCAUGUUGGUGUUAUUCUUCUAGCCCAUAUUGUUUGGAUCUCUAUCUCAUCAUGGUGCAGUUUUCUUGUAUUCCUUAGGCUGUGCCUAUUGAUGGAGAAGUUUACCAAGGUUCAUCGACAGUCACAAUCGAACACCUCACUGGUGAAACGAAGCCUCUUGAAAGGACGGUGGGGGACGCUAUACCAGGUGGUGCUAGGAACCUGGAAGGAAUGAUGAUAGUACAGGUUGACUUAUUUCUCUCUUCACUGAAGAGACUUUUUUUCUUUUACAUUUUGUUCUCUAGUCCCAGGAUAGCUCAUUUUCCUUAGCUAGUUUAUUUAAUGAUUUCAGUACGUUAAUACUCCACAAACACUACUACAAUACAGCUGGUGGAACUCUUUAGUAGAUUUUAUUUGAUAUUUUUUAUCUGAGAAAUAGCAAUGGCUGCUUGGUAUGACAAAACCAAUAAAAUCAGUAUUUCCCUAUUCAUGGUUGCUACAUUAUAGCCAGUCCAGAUCAGACUAUGGCUGGCUUACUCGGGAAGCAUCUUUCUGCACCUGGAUUACAGACUAUGCCUACCUCAUGGAUUGCAUCCCACCGAGCAAACCUGAGAAAAUCCGGAUCAUCACAGCUGCGGGAAGCACCCUGGGAGGCGCUUUCUCUAUAUGCAUAGGCUCUGCAGUGGCUUCGUAAAAAGCCAAAUCAAAAGCCUGUGCGUUUGGUUUGGUGGCUGGCUUUUUUUCAAUGGAAAACCAAUAGGAAGCCCAAAGAAAUAAAACCUUAAGCCAUCUCAUUGCUACCUAUAAACCGUUCAAAAACUGAGAUCCACCCAUGUAUUUUGACUUAGAAAUCCCCAUCAGCCAUGUAUUUCUUAUGGAGCAAUUGGCAUAGCGUAGAGUUAUCCUUGUGGACAAUCUUCCACAUACAUUUGUUGAUUAGGCGUAGGUUUAUUAUUCUGGUAAGCACCUCAGACAUUAUAUUCAUUAAAUCUGCAAUCGCUGCAAUUUAUCUUGCGACAUCUAAACUUACCUAGCAGGUCAUUGCCAGAAGACUAUUAUCCUGUAUUAUAUAUGCCGCCGUUCAACAGAUUAAGCCCCAUUAUGUACAUAGGAAUGCUGCUCAAGCACUAAUUGUUAAGGAUCAGUUUAUCCCCUGAAGACAACAAUUUACUCUUCCAAAUGCAUAACCUUUUUGUUAACUUGUUAAUCAAUCCUUCACUUGGGAAUGUUGAUGCUUUUGUUUGACAUGGAAUCGCCCUCUUGCAGGUGACCAAAUCAUGGGAGGAUUCAACACUCAACAGAAUUGUGCAGUUGACUGAAGAGGGCAAGAUAAACAAGCCAAAGCUGCAAAGAUGGCUUGACGAAUUUGGAGAGCACUAUAGCAGAGCUGUUGUUGUACUGUCUUUAAUGGUUGCACUACUGGGACCAUUACUCUUUAAGUGGCCUUUUUUUGGUAACUCAGGUAUUCCUCUAAUGUUACAGUACAUUACAUGCUUCAGUAAUUUGUGUUGGACUGCGUAUUUUUUUCUUUUGUAUUUUGACUUGGCACUUCUCCAAUAGUUAAUGCUAUGUCUUGGAAAACUGUAUUUUUUGGCAAUUUAUACUGAACUGGUACAAUUGGCUCUAGCAUUGAACUUUCUGUGUUCCAAUUUUGUUUAGUUUGUAGGGGUUCAAUUUACCGUGGGUUGGGGCUUAUGGUGGCUGCAUCUCCAUGUGCAUUGGCGGCUGCUCCCUUAGCAUAUGCCACUGCUAUCAGUUCUCGUACAAGGAAGGUAUUGCUUGAAUCUUGAAGUCUUUCUUUAUAAUUGGCUACUUUUUUCAUUCAAUGUAAGACACUGCCAUUUCAGCUUCUAAAUUUCAUGAGAGCAUUUGGUGCUUAAUCCAGAUUGUUUUUGUCAGGCUAGUUUCGAUCUACUUUUCUUUAAUGGUACGUACUUGUAUCGUAUGCACAAGUGGUGGUAGAGAUCAGAGGAUAUUAAUCUGAAUCUUCUGUUGAAAUUAUUGGUGUUGCACCUAUGAAGUGCCUAUUAGUAGUUUGUCCUGAAUGUCUUUCGAUAAUUUACUAUGACCUUUUUGUUAGAUGAACUUCUUUCUUCAGAAUUUUCCGGUAUAUUGGUUUCAUUCAAGCUCAUUUUUACUCCUUCUGUAGGGAAUUUUGUUGAAAGGCGGGCAUGUAUUAGAUGCUCUUUCGGCUUGUCAGUCUAUUGCAUUUGACAAGACAGGCACAUUAACAACCGGGAAGCUUAUGUGCAAAGCAAUUGAGCCCAUUCAUGGACAUUUGAAUGUGAGAAAUAGUCUUAACGUUUCUUCUUGCUGUACUCCGAGCUGUGAAAGUGAAGCUCUAGCAGUUGCCGCAGCCAUGGAGAAAGGAACAACCCAUCCUAUUGGGAGGUAAGAGAAUGGAUAACUUUCUUAAACAUGUUUGUUUUGUUCAUUUGCAUACAUUUUUCUAAAGUAGAACUCUGCCACACUUGGGAAUGGCAUGAGUUGAAUCUAAGUUGUUACGGCCCAAUAUAAUGGCAUGCUCUAGGCCAAGCAUGUCAUGUUUAGUAUAGUGUUCUGCUGUUGUCUAUUAGGACAUCGUAAAAAAUGAUGUUUGAUAUUUUUUGCUUUUUAUUAUGUUUGGGAUGAUUUUUUUAGAACAUGUUUUGUUCAAGAUGAUGACACCAAAGUUAAACAGUAUAGUUUGCAAUUACUUUGAAAAUCUACUCUUCUAUCAUGAAUUCAUGGGUACGUACAUCCACCACUUGCACAUGAUUUGAAAAAACAUAAGCUGCUGUGCAUAGCACACAAUGCUAUUAAACGUGAAACCAUGUCAGGAUGGGUCUUCGUGCUAUUUAGUCAGCUUGACUAAGCCUUGACUAAGUAUAUGACAGUGUAAAACAGAAAACUUACUGAUGAUAUCAACUUAGGCUUGGCUUAUCCCUGAAGCCUGAAAACUCCUAUUCUGGAAAAAUUAGGCAUGGAUCUUGCUUGAUUUUCCUCGUUGUAAGAUGCUAAAUCACUCAAGAAUAGGAUUUUAUUUUGGGUUUCUGUAUCAGCUGGCUUCCUGGCCCAUUCUGGUUUCAUGCAAUGCUUAUUUCUGUGUUUCUCAUAUGCACUAGGGCUGCCUUGCACUGAACCAGCAUGAUUCCUGGCAGGCUUGCAUUACACUGAGCUUGUGCACCGAGGAGGCAAAAAUAACACUUUUCUUCCAUUUUAAAUUGUCUUUUCCCACCAUUUUAGAGAACCGAGUGUCGCUCAGUUGGCUUGAGGCGCGAGUGCAUGCUCAGCUGACUUGGGUUCGAGGCCUGGCUUUCGUGGGGAGUGCUUAUGGAUGUUUCUAAUUAAAAAUGCAACAUGUACUAGUGUGUCUUGGUCAAGUUUUCCUUCCCACAAUUUUUAGCAUAAUGUUGAGGCUUUCAAGGUGUAAUUUCGUUCUUCAUCUUCACGGGUCAAGCAUGGACAUAAAUCUUUGCUUCAGGAAUGCCUGAAAAAACACAUAAUACAUCUAUGACAUGGGCCUUUGCAAUAGACAUCUGUGAAGUUAGAUUAAAUUCUACUUUGUACUCCUAAGUGUCCAAAAUUGACACAAAGCAACCCAUUUCAAAAAUUGACCACUUUGUAUUUAGUGCUGCAUUUUCCACUUUGUACAUGAUUUAUCAAAAAUGUGCGGAAUCUGACAGAUGAGGCACUACUGAUGUGGCAUCUAAAUAUUUAAUAAUCAUCCAGCUCAGGCUAACGAGAGGGCCUAUUUGCCAGAUGAGAAAUUUGAUAAAUUGGGUACAAAGUGGAAAAGGCAACACUAAACGGGGGUACCAAAUGGUCAGGUUUUAAUAUGUUACUUUCUGUCAAAUUUAGACACUAAGGGUUACAAAGGGGAAUUUACUCAUAAAGUUAAUAACAUACAAUGUUUGCUCGAGAUGCGGAUGGGAAUGACUCUGGCUGGGUGAGGUGGAUGGAUUGUUCAAGUUGUGGCACGCUGAAGAUGGAUCGAGAGGAGCUUGACAGGAAUGAUGAAUCGAGAACGAGGUCGACUGAAAAACAAAUUGGUUGUGCAGAGAGAAAGCAACUUAAACUCUAAAACCUAUGCUCUCAUACCAUGCGAUGAACUUGACUUGUAUAUUCCAGGGGCUCAAGGCCAAUAUAUACAGUACAUGUUCAUGUGUUGUAUAAGGAUACCAAAAGCAGCUAUAAUACAUAUCUAACAUAAUAUAUCGCAGGCAGUUGACACACUGAGUUUAUGAUCCAUAGGGCAGUGUUACAUCACUCUGUUGGGAAGGACAAGGACCUCCCAAAAGUUCUUCUACAAAGCUUCGAGUCCUUACCUGGUAGAGGAGUUUUUGCUACUUUAAGCAUCACAAAGGUAAUGUGUACAUCCGCAAUAUAUUUCAACCAGCAAAGUCAUCUUGAAUCAUUAGAUAUAUCAAGCAAAGAUUUUCUGUUGUUCUACGGGAUUUUGUAUAUUUGAUUUCAACAAUGAAAAGAAAUUCAUUUCUGUACAGAAAUAACUUUUUAAUAAAAUGGAAGUAGGAAACUCUCCUACUGUUCUGAGUAAAGAAAACAAUGAACAGCGAGGGUUGGUUUUUAUAUCCUUACGUGUUUAUUCCAUCUCAAUUAUUCGAGAAACGGAAGGAAAACAAUUGUAAAAUAUGUUUUCUUUGCUCGAAAGUUAAUUUUGACAAUAUUAAGAGAUUAAAAAAGAAGCCUAUAUAGUACACCUAUCUUCAUGCUCUUUGAAGCUGACUGUUUUCAUUGAAUGAUGCAUUGAAGACUAGCAGUUGUUUUGUUUAAUCAGUUUUGAGUAUUGGGAAGAGUUGGACCUUUAAUUUCUAGCUUGGUCUCUCAUAUACCUGUGUUAGAGGCAUCAAACAAUGAAAACAAACUCUCUACGGCCGCUAUCGGUUCUGUGGAAUAUAUUUCUUCGCUAUACAGAUCAAAUGGUGAAUGUGAGCAGGUACAAGAGGCAAUAAAAAGUUCUGCAUAUGGUCCUGAAUUUGUCCAAGCUGCUCUAUUAAUGGAUAAAAAGGUGAGCUAAAUUAGAGUAAAACCUUCUCAUUUCACAGCAUGCUUCUCCCUGUUUAUUUCGAUGUCCUUUUUAUGUUGUUGCGCAGAUAUUUAUCUUCAUGUUUGAUGGAAGCAUUCAUGUAUAACUAGGGAAAUUAUAAAUAAAUUAUGUCUUUAUCGUUAGUCUAAGGUGGAUUGGAGUCCAGGCUGUCAAAUGCUGAUCAGUUGUCUUAAUUAAAAAUGGAUUAUAUUGCAGACUUCCACAUGCUCAUAAGUUUUGUUACUUCAGUAAUAAUUUGUGACGUGUGAAUGCUCUUAUGCUUGUUGCUUGCUGGUUUGCUAACAUUUAGGCUGCAUCUUCAGUUGAUAUUAUAUUAACUAAUAGAGUAAAGUGAAAACUAAAACAUAAAUCAGAUCAAGUUUGAAAUAUACAAAAGCACUGUUAGUCUGUGUAGUGGUGUACACAAGUUUGAGUAUAUUGUUAGUGCAUGGGGUAGGAAACCUAAGACAUACAGUGCUAUGUACAGGCAUGCUUUCAAGGUACAUUUCAUGGAAAAUGUAGCUGAAAUUAAAUCAGCUAAUUUCGUUGUAUACCGUGUGGAGAUGGGAUUUUUUUUAAUGUAAGAUAAAUUGGGAUUACCUAUCUGGCCAUUUAGUUUCGUUGACCUUUCGUGGCCUCAGCAAUUAAAUCACUCAUGUCCCAUCUAUUUAUAGCACAAUUCAGGUUGGACAUUUGAACCACAAAAGCUGUCCAGAUGGCCAAACAUUUGGUCCAUCUGCUAUGGAUAGCCUGUCUAUUUUGUACCCCUCCGUUCACAAUUAUAAGAUGUUUUGGAUAUUUCAAUAUAGACCACAUACGGACUGAAAUGAGUGAACAAACACACUAAAAUGUGUCUAUAUACAUCUGAUUCAAAUAAAAGUUAAAACAUCUUAUAUUUGUGAACGAGGGGGUACCUUCUUUAGGUCUUUGGCCCUGAUAAAAUUUUAAUCCUAAUGUGACUGCAUUCGGCCUGACUUGGAAAAUAGAGUCCGGACGUAUGCUUGCAGUCUCAACAGCAGUCUUGCUUUAUUUGGUCUGGCCAAAGGCCAAACCAAUGGCAAGAAGCUCCACUUGACCACUUAGUAUCAUAUUUCUGCCAGUUUCUUCUGUCAACAUUCAUUCAAAUGUGUCAUUACCAUAUAAAAUGUACGUUAUGUAAGAACUACCCUCCAACGCAUUAUUUAUUCGCUGAUUGAUUUUUUUCCAGAUGACCCUUUUCCACUUCGAGGAUGAACCCCGUCCUGGUGCCUGUGAAGUUAUAUCCACCUUACGAGAGAAAGCAAAACUUCGCAUCAUGAUGCUCACUGGAGAUCAUGAAUCAAGUGCUCUGAGAGUUGCUAAAGCCGUUUGUAUUGAUGAAGUGCACUGCUGUUUGAAGCCAGAGGACAAACUGAAUAAAGUAAAAGCAGUUUCAAGGCGAGGUAGUUCAUAUCUUCUUUUCUAUUUUAUUGUGAACCGAAACUCAGUAUCCUGUUACUACCAGAUUUCAGUUCUGCGAUUGUAUCGGAUUCUUUUAGUUUUCUCAUAUGUUAUUUAAUUUUCAAUAUAUCUGUCCAUAAUUAAUCACAGUUGUUGCUUUCUACAUAUUUUUGCCAUCGUGCUAGCUCUCCAUGAUUCAAUCCAAUAAUUCUAACUGUUGUCUUCCAACUUCAGAUUACUAUUGUGAUGUUAGGAAAACCUACCAGCUACGACCUCAGCAUCUUUUGCCCAUAACAAAACAUUUGUUGUGUAUAACUGAAUUGUUGUAUCUUUGAAACAUUGUGCACUUCUCAACUAUGCAUCGUAGAGGUUCUGUUCUGCCAGCCAAUAUGAUUAGUAAGCAACACGUGGGAUUCAGAGAGGGAAGGUACAUUUCCUCGUUAUUAUUUCCUCUGUAUUUGUUUCCAGGUGGGAGUUUAAUAAUGGUCGGCGAUGGUAUAAAUGACGCGCUCUUGCAGCUGCAACUGUUGGCGUCGUUCUAGCUCAACGUGCCAGUGCAACAGCAGUAGCUGCUGCAGAUGUUCUGUUGUUGCAGGAUAAUAUCUGCGGGGUGCCAUUUUGUAUUGCUAAAGCUCGUCAAACAACUUCACUGGUAUUGUCACUUAUGGGUAUCACUGCAAAACACAUUUUGUUGGGAUAUAACGUUUUUGGUUCUUACACUUUAGGUUCAUCCUUGCAGGUCAAGCAAAGUGUAGGGCUUGCCCUAACUUGUGUCCUUCUUGCUGCGCUUUCUUCUGUCUUGGGAUUUCUUCCUCUUUGGUUGACGGUGAGUUUGUUCCUCCAUGCAGUAUGCUACCUUGCUAAUACACCUGUGGUUCAAUGAAUUUUGACGACUGAUUGAUCUAGUGACCAUAUCCUAACACUGGCAUCAUUGAUAAUGUUGUUAUGCUGUGAAGAAAAUCAGUAAAGUUAGACUAGGCCGUAUGUUUAAUUUUUGUUGUUGUUGGAAACAUUGUAGUUCCAUUUGAAAUAAUGCUACCACCGGAUAUGUGAUCUGCGCCUGUGCGAAAAAAUGCAGGUACUUGUUCAUGAAGGAGGAACCCUUGUUGUCUGCUUGAACUCGAUACGAGCCCUCAAUGCGCCUACAUGGUCGUUGGCAGAUGAGAUCCAACAACUUGUUGAUGGCCUGAGGAAGUAUAUCUCGGCAAAGUUGAACAGCUCCUCAAAUUAUGCAGCUAAUACUGCCCCGUUGUAGAUUUGUAUAGUGACAAAUAUCUACAUGAACCGUUGGAAUUUAGGUGGGGGUUGUGGACCUAAUAUUUGUAGGCUGUACUCAGCUCUCACAACCAUGUAAGUAAAUAAACAAUGCUGAUCAUCCUGUAACUAAACAUCUGAUCAGGCUUGUUCGAUCCUCCGUAAAUAUUUUUCUCCUGGAGUUUAAUUCUGUGCUUGGUCCUUGAAUUAUUGUAUGUGUCUCGGUUUAGGUUUUGAAAUAAUAUAAAGAGUUAGCUAAUACAUAAACUUGCAGCGCGGUAACAAUAUCAUGCGUAAUCUUGAAAACCCCAUAGAAAUGAUACAGCAACUUCUUAACAGCACAUAUUCAUACAUUUCCAUCAAAUCCGACAGAUGCCGUUUGUGUGGGUCCAUGUCAGCUCCCUACGUAAUGUGUGGGUCCUAUGAAUGUCCACUUGAGCUCCCUACAUAAUGUGUGGGUCCUACCUGUCAUUGAAACGGAGAAAGAAAUAGUGUACAAUAGAAAUGGGAGAAAGGGAGUUCAAACCCGAGACCGGCGACUAUCUGGGCAUGUAGCACGAGCACCCGGACUAUACGGCAUAUGGCUAGGAAUACAGUAUUUGUCACUAUUUGUUGGUACUUAAGGAUGUCUGAUGGACACAAACCCUUAAAAAAUACAAACGAAGUGGCAAAUGGUUAUCACAAAAAUAAGAAACAAAACUUAGACAUUCAAAAGAUCGAUCAAUUGAAGGUGUUAUCCGGCAGCAUAAAUGUCAGCCCAUCGUUAUCUUAUUGAAGGUGUUGGUUCAAAGAUUUUCUUGGAAGGUGGUAGACUUUGGUCUGGCAUCUAGCUGGACCAUGAACCAACCAACAUUUGCGGUGAUUCGUUCUAGAAGGUGUUGCUUUGGAGUGUUGCGCCGUUUGUUUGCCGAUACAUCCUCUGUCGGUAUGGUGGUAGGAUUUGAAGAUACUGCAACGAGAUUUGUCCUUUCUUUCUUUCUUGAAAUAGCCUUUCGCUCCGCUUUAUAAAUAAAGCAAUGAUCCAACCAGUAUCCAAAUCCAAAACAAGAACGUCGGCCGGGGCAACAUCACAAUCAUGCCCAAUAAACAAAAGAGAAAUAAGAAAAAAGCCACCUAGUGGCUGCCAACAAGCGGCCGGACGAUAGUCGACGCGCUGUAGCCAGAAGCGCAUCCAGCAUGAGGCCAAGGUGAACUCGGUCGCGCUACCUAGAAAGCGGGCGUCAGUGCUGCAGAAAAGCAAGGAAUUUGAAGAAGUCAGACGCUUGCCUUGAAAACACCCACUCAAUCACCAUUUUAUUACGUGUGGUCCAAAGAGUACACGAUAUCGCCGCAAAAAUAAGCCAGAAUAAGUGGCGAUGUCACCCAGGUUGGAUAGCCCUGGUCUUGAGAAACUCCGCGAGGUCCAAGGCCUCCCAGUAGGGUGCUAGUGUUUCAUGGAUGAACGUCCGUAGGAUCCGAGCCGCCAUACAUGAGAAUAGGAUAUGGGUCCCAAUGUCAGGUACCAUGAAUAAGGGGGCACAAGCCACCCACCGAUCCAUGCCACUUAAACACCUCGGUCCCCGAAGGGAUGCGAUCUCUAAGAAGUUGCCAAACAAAAUCUUGGUAUUCAAGGGCAAAGGGGCCUUCCACAAGGAAGAAAGCCAAGGGGUGGUCGGAGACCGGCGAGUUGACAGAGAACUCAAACGACGGAGGGAGACGCCUGGAUACGGUGUCCGGAUAGUCCGGCAACACCGGCAUUAAGGCAGCCUGCGGUCCUUUCUUUCUUUAAGUUGUUUUGUUUGCAUAUCAAUAAUUAAUAAUAUUUUUUUGAACAACAAAAGAUUUUAUUCCAUUAGCAACAUUUUACAGAGAGUGGUGUGAAAGGUCUCACAGUAGACAUGGCGAGGACAUCUCUCGCAAUACAAGAUCCUGCAUCUGAAGAGAGACAACGAAAAGCUAGAUGCCAGUUUUGGUCGCUAACUUAGCUUGAUGAUGUGCUUUGACAUUAAAACACCUGUUGAUGUGUGCUACUCUGGUGUGGAUAAAAGAUGGCAAAACCUGUAUAGAAGCAAGAAUAGGCGUUAUAUUCCAGUGAAUUGUGACUUGAAAGAUGGAACUCGCCCCUGCUGCCGAUACGAGUACGGAGCAAUCCGUGUAGUAGUGGUUCUGGGAUGAGAAGAAUUUCUGCUAACAUUGUAGCCAAUAGAAGCCCGUAUGCUUCAGCUUGGAGAGCGGAUGGCACCAGAGGAGACAUAGCUGAAACCUACAGCUCCUGACAAUGACCAUUUUCUCCGAGUUGGAUGAUGACACCGAUACCUGCUGGCGAUGUUUGGAUAUUGUCCUCAUUUGUCCAUGCCGCAUCACAACAAAUUCCUUUUCCUGCAACUAAAGAUGGGUCUUGUGUGGUUGAUGGUUGUUGUACAACAACACUUCCUGCCAUCUCAUCUUCUAGUUUUGGGCCUUAUGAGAUCGCAUUUGCCACCGGGUGUACCUGUGCUGGUUUACAAAACUUUCUACCAAACAGAGCAUCAUUUUGUGCUUUCCAAAGACACCAUAAGAAAGUGUAUACACUAGUUACAUUGAUAUGGGGAUGAGCAGAAUCUAUUAAAACCUUGAGCAUGUGUGGAAUGGAAUGAUUAUGUUCUGCCAAAACUUCUGUUCUAAUAUACCAGGGAGAGGAAAACCAAGUAGCCUUUGAGAAAGGGCAUAGAAAAAGCAUGUGCACUUCAUCCUCCUGGUUGCCACAUCUAGUACAAUUCUCACUAAUAUGUCUGGAGAACUUACUUGCUCGCUUACCCGUUGGAAGUGCUCGGCGAAGAAGUCUCCAUGCGAAAGUUUGAACUCUUAGCUCAAUGCGUUUGGCUUUCCAAACUUGAUUGAGAAGAUUUACAAUCUGUGGUGGAACAGAUUUUGGCCGUUGGUUUGCUGGCAGUGGUAGAUUAUUGAAGCAGUGCUUGUAGGCACUUUUCGAAGAGUUGUCACCUGCAGGGGUUAGCUUCCAAACCAACACGUCAUGUCUAACAGUGUUAACUAUAGGAGUUUGCAUUAUAGCUUGUGCAGUAUUAGGAUUAAACAUAGCAUUGACAAGAUUGAUGUUCCAAGUUAAUAAUAUAUGACUAAGUGCAUCAAUUGAUGCAAAGGUUGAGGAUUUGUCCUCAUUAAAAAAAUGAUAUUCAAGUGGUAUUUUUUUCCCACAAUGUGCUGGCCCGGUAAAAAUUGUAGGAUGUGGGAAUGUUGUAGCUUGACCCGUCAUUUCUGCCGUAGAAGGGAAAGAAAAGAAAAGCAAAACAAGAGGGAGUCGAAGGACGGAAAUGGAGUACCCAUUGACCUCCAGUAUCAUCAUGCCGCUCCAGUGUUCGUCCCCUCCUCAGAGCACGUCGCGCCUGCACACCGGCCGCCUGACCUGUCAAUCGGGCACGGAUCAUGGCCGGCAGCGCCUUCCAUCGGUAAUUGUAGCGGCACCGGCGGAGGCAGCCUCUGACAUGACCUCCACGCCUGAGGUUUGACACACCAACUUGGCAAAAGUUUGGUCCUUCUUUUCCCCGGGUCUAUUUGUGCCUGUGCUGCCCGCCCCCGUCAUGAUUCAUGCCUCUUCCUUUGUCCAGGAUUAGUCAGCCUGUUCAAUUCACACGAGUCAUGAUCAUUUUAUCCGACAGUAUCAGGGUUGGAUCUUACUCGUUUGCCGAACCGAACCACGGCAAGUAAAACGAGGCAGAAAUAAUUUGAACCCACGAGAGCAUCUACAACCGGGUGCCCAUAUCCGUCCCAAACAUCUGGAUAGGCUGCCCGGUCACUGUUCGGACAGAAAAAAGCCAUCCAACUAGGUUCGUCGUACGCGGUCCAAAUGCCCGGGUUGUUCGGUGUGGGGCGAAUAUGGGGAGGCCUGGACGCAGACACCGCCGCGACGUCGGACCGGCCCAGUAUGGCCCAUGUCGCCCCCGCCAUUGUCCCUAUAAAACCCCCGGCCGGUCGUCCGGACCCUAGUCAAACCCCACUCGCUCGAGUCUGCUCUCCCUCUCAGCUCUACUCAUGUCUCCUCCUUUCCAUUUCCACAAUCUCUCCCAUCGCCUCCGCGAUGGCCGGCCGGAAGUGGACCUGAGAGCGGCUCCGACAAGAUCGACUGGGCUAAGCUGGCCUUCGACUCGUCAAGCUCAUUCGCGCUGGAUGAGGAGGACUCGUGCUUCGCAUUGCUCUCCGUCGCUCGCGGACAGAACUGCACGGGAGCUCCUCCUCCACGACGUCGCUGGUGGCUAGGGUAGGCAACUAUAGCUCUGCGGCGCCCCGACGCUGCCCUACGAGGUCUGCCUUCCACGGUCAGGCGGCAGGGCGAUCAGCGGCACCCGACACCGCUAGCAGUUGCUCCUCCUGCUGGGAGCCGCUCAGUGCUAGUGCCUGCACCAUCGAGGCCGCGAUCACAAUUGCAACAGACGAAGACGGAGGGGCACUUAUUUUAUCGCCAUGAAGAAGGUGGCGCAGGCCGCGUCAAGCCGUUGCGGCUGCGGGUCCUCCAGAUCUAAACCGGAGCUGUUACCGCCCGCCUCUGACGACGGCGAGGCACUCCAUGACGCAAUUCGCCGCUCCUACACGUCAGCAGAGACGAAUGACCGCCGUCGGUAAUACGAAAAUGAAUCGGCGCUUCGCCUGUUGCUCGAGGAGCCCGAAAGGUUGGCGAUGCAGAACCACAAAAUAUAUCAGCAAAAACCGUCGUCGAAACAAUCCCUAUGUUUUGUCUAGCAUUGGUUGGUUCCAAAGAUUGUUCCGCCCAUCAUAAAAAAGAUUGUUCUAACUUUGCUUGGCUACAAUGUCUAAUAGGUCGAGGAGGCAUGAGAUCACAUAAUGUCAUCCGCUUGAUCCCCAUCGAACGGUACAUGCGUGCCAAAUCCUUCACUGGAUAGUUGCAAGCCGAUCCAUAAUAAAUCCGUCUAUCGAGAUAAGGACAACCCGAGAGACAUCAACAACCACCACUAUCCUAGGACGCUGAUCAUUUGGAUCUCGGUGCCCCGCCUUGUGCUAGGGCAUGCGACUGAUGACAAACAACUAGAUCUAGCAUAAUGACAAAGCAGGAGGUGGAAGAGUGAAAGAGGAGGAAGUGAGUUGACGGUGGAAGAGAGAGGACUCAGUGCACAUAGGUGGAAGGAGGCGGCAUCAAGGGAUUUCCAUCGUAUAAGUACAGACUAGGGGAUGUCGUGUUCAUGUGGCCUCGUACAGAUUUAUAUAUUUAUACGUAAUAAUAAAGGGGUUAUUGCUUCUGUUCGCCCCUUCAAAAAAAAAUACACCCGAAAUUACUAUAAAUUACCCACUAUGCCACCCACAAGUGAACAAAACAAUCUGGUUUUCUUUUCAAAGUCGGCAUCAUGCUUCGUUAUUUUUAUUGUAAAUGUGAUACCAAUAUAAGUCAUAGACGCACAAGUAGCCCUAGCUCUUCAAGCCAUGAGACCAGGGUUCCCCAACCUCCACAUUUUCCCCUCCGGCUCAUGUGCAGGGCUUGACUCCCCAUGUUUUUUUUAAAAAAAUUCUUUCCUUUUCUCAUUCUGUUUUCUUCCUUCUUUAAACAAAUUCAGGAUUUCUAAAGUUUUAAAGUUGUGAGUUUUCAAAAAUAUGUUUGAGAAAUCAUAAAAUGUAUGUGAACUCAAAAAAUGUUUAGGAAAUCAUAAAAAUUCGCGGAUUCAAAAAAUAUUGGUGGUUUUGCAAAACUGUUCACAAAUUAUAAAAAUAUGCAAAUUUUGGAAGAAAAAAAAUGGUCGGGAAAUAAAAUCAUGAACAUGAUUUGAGAAAAAUGACCGUGUAUUCAAAACAUAUUCGGGAAUCUGAAAAAAUGUCCAUGAAAUUUUAGAAAAUGUUCACAGAAAUUAAAAAAACACAAAUUUAAAAUUUGUUCCCUAAUUUAUGAAAAUCUCAUUGAUUCAAAAAAAUGUUUGUUGAGUAAAAAAUGUUCAUGAAUUCGAAAACUGUUUAUGCAUUUCAAAAAAUGUUCCUAAACAAAAAUAAUGUUCAUGAUUUUUUUGAGAAAAACUAAAAUUAAAAAAAAAUGAUUCGAAAAACUGUUCACAGAUUCAAAAGUCUUUUAUGUCUAGGAUUUGAUUAGUUUUUCCUAAAGUCUUUAUUUGUCUAGGGGUUGGGAGUAGUUCGUGGUUGAUGAGAUUUGUCUUUAAAGUUUUAACCAUUCCCUUGCGCAACAUAAUGACAAGUGUGUCAUGUAGUGGCAAGCCCAUAGCCUUGGGAUUUACCACUCAAAUGUAUUGCGAUCACGUGGACAUCACGACUAUCAUUGGCGAGGGUGGGAAGUAAAAUAAAUGGCAUCAUGGUGAGCCACUGUGUUAAAAUAGAGGGCACUCAUAUAUCAGGGUAUUGAGUCAUACUUAUUCGGCUAGCUCAUAAUUUUUUUGUCUCCCGUUGCAACGCUACUGACAUACUUGCUAGUAUAUUAUUAACAAGGGUAAUGCUUUCUUCAUGAAGUUUUUUUAUUUAAUCUAAGUUGAGUUAAAUAGAAAAAAUCGACAAACAAACAAUGUUAUUCCACACAUCCAAUUUACAUAAAAAACACUUAUAAGACAUCUCAUAUCUAAAAAUUAUCAUAAGGUAAACAGGACACAAAUUCCAAGGAGUCCCAAUGUUGCUUUGAUCCUCCUCCAAAGUAAAAAUAGACGAAGGAGGCAUCCGUCACCGGGUGGCGUCCACUGGGUCCUCAUCCAACGGUGCAGGCACGUCAAAUCCUUCACUGCCAGACAGUGGACGCUGGUCCUUAGCCACCCCCGCCUAUCCAGAUAAGGCGCCACGGCCACCUGCCGUCCAAAGCUGUUGCCUGCCACCAAUGGAGACCACCGCCUCAUGGCGCCUCCUCCCGGCCGCGUCCUCGCCGCGUCCCUCCCUGCUCCAAGCCAGACGGCAGGCGUCCUUCCCUUCGUCUCUUGAACAGCCGGCGAUCUCCAAGUCCAGGAUCCUCUGCCUUCUCCAUGACAAGGUCUCAGCUAACCACAGCUUCGUACAUAGGAGUAUGUAUUUGCGAGUUGUGGCAUCUGAUCCGUCUUCUUUCUUGCUUGCGUAGCCUGCGCCUACCGCCCAGAGCUCGCAGCUGCAGAAGCUGGCCUCCGUGUUGCAGUGCGGCGCCGUCUGGGCAGCAGUAUGGACGGACACCUUUAAAAUUUCAUUUGAUCUUGAACGAAUCGCACACAUGCAUGGAUAUUAAUCAGUGAUCGCGCUGCGGCGAAUUCGUAUGUGUUUCGUGUCCAUGCGUGCAGGUCCAGGCCCCCGCUGCUCUGGCGACGGUGAGCGGGGAGGAGGACCUCGACCUCCUGGGGAUCCUGCCGCCGGUGGCCGCGAUCGCCUUCGUCUACCUCUUCGUUGCUCCCGUACGUGAGCCUAGCUACUUGUUCUGACCCGAUUUGGGGAAGAGUAAUGGGUCGUUAACUGAUUGUGUUCCGGCGGUGUGGCGUGCGUGCAGCCGAUUAUCAUGAACUGGAUGAGGCUGAGGUGGUUCAAGCGCAAGUUCGUCGAGACGUACCUGCAGUUCAUGUUCACUUACCUCUUCUUCCCCGGGUGAGUCGGUGCCUUUCAACAGCUAGCUGCUGCUUAGUGGUUAUUACAAUUAAACAAAAACAAUCAAGGCAAGCUCGAUACAUUCGGUAACAUCUGCGAUUGUAAUGUGUUAGAAAAAAACAGUUUAACCUUACUUUAGUUUAAAACUGCUACACUUAUUUUGGAUCGGAGGGAGUAGUUCAGUUGAGAACCUAGUACGACAGUACGUAUCCUUGUACAACCAUCUUUUCCUUUUCUUUCCAAAGGGAAGUGUAUAUCAGUAGAAAUUAAGUAGUCUUCUACCCUCAAUAAUAUCAUCAACUGAACUCGGCAUCUAUUCAUCUGCAGGUUGAUGCUGUGGGCACCGUUCGUCAACUUCAGAAAGUUCCCAAGGGAUAAAACCAUGAAGUAUCCUUGGUCAAAACCCAAGGAAGGCACCCCGCUGUUCAAGGACAGAUACCCACAAAUUGACUCCUUCAGAGAGAAGUACUACUAGUAUAUACAUACGUACUGUAAAAUACAGUGGAUGAUCAGGAGCGACGUUUCUUUUACAGAUCGAUGUGCCUCUGUAACAUAUAUUUUUCACAUGUUCUAUUUGGAUGCCCCAAGCAUAUUCUAGGGCCCGCCAUGAGUGCGUAAAGGAAAAUCUAGGGGAAUGGUCAUAAUCACCGUUGGACGUGUUUGGUUGCUCACAACGUUUUUGGCCUCUUCCACUCGUGGCCCUCGAAGCCAGGCGGGGAAUGCAGGUUCUGGAUCAUGUUUUUGCAAUUUGUUUUGUUACCCACAAAUCCCUAGUCUGCAUGAGGGCCUCAAUGCUCCCCACUGUUUGGUUGCCCGUGUUUCGGGAUUUUGGCCUGGGCUGGGCUGAUGCAGAUAUUGUGUUUUGUUGCACAUUUUUGACCUGUUGUGAUCACCAUGCACCCCCUAUGUGGUGAGUUUACCAGCUACAACUAUUGUCAUCGCAUUGUACUUAUGAUUAUACACAGUUAGGAAACUACAAAUAUACAACGACAACAUAUUGGACGAAUAUUAUGAAGUCGUUCAACCUACUUAACCCGAUAUGACAUGCACCCUUGCCUACUCCAUGCUCGCUCUUCUCUUUGACUACAAACUUGGAGUAAUCAUUGUCUACCUCCUCUCUAGUCUCAAACCCUCUAUGACAACUAUUCUUGUAAUCGUUCACUUGCUCAUGGCAAGCCUGUCAUGACCUAUAGACUCAUGAAACCCUCACUAAGUACACAACAUACGACUUCAUCUACCAAGGCAGAAGAAUAAAAUAUCAACAUGGAGGACAAGAAUCAUAUAUGGUGGAUAAGGUUGGAUUUUCGACAAAAUUAGGGCAUGACUAAACUCAACUUCUUUCAAUGCCUACAAUGAUUAGCAUCAGCAAUAGCAUUGUGAACAAGAACAAUGCAUCACUACAAUGGUAAGCAUCAGGGGAAACAAUGUUGAGCAUGCAUCGUUGGGUAAGGCUUGAAUGAUCUUCACUUCAUGUUGUCAUGUAGAAGGGGGAAGUUGAUAUAAGGUUGAGAACUACAAUGUGUAGAACCAACCCUCAUACAAACGAUCACCCUGAAACAUGGACUACACAACAAUGAAAUCAUGAAGCUCAACACACUACCACAAAACAUGCAUCUAGCAUACUACAUAUGACGAAGAUAACAUCUGAUCUACAAUGUCCACACAUAAAUUCAUGAAAUAGACAUGCAAACAAUGUCAUACUAGCACAUAAGCAUCAAUCUAUGACGACAGCAUCAACAUCAUCACUGUCGACAAGCAAAGCCUACCAUACCAAUAAAACGACAUAUGAUCUACCACAUCCUCAGAUAACACCAUGAAGCAAUACUUGCAAAACAUAUCAUAUUAUCUUCAUAUCUACUUAGACCUACCACAUGCUCAAAGAUCUAAGCUAAAAAAUUGGAGUUUGAUGUUACUUACACCCAUUAGGAGCGAAGGAGGCAGGAAACAACUCGAAGAAGAGGAGGAAGAAAGCUUGCCGCCAUCGACCAUUGCCGACCAGAGAAGAUGGCACCGCUUACCUGCUCGUCGNNNNNNNNNNNNNNNNNNNNNNNNNNNNNNNNNNNNNNNNNNNNNNNNNNNNNNNNNNNNNNNNNNNNNNNNNNNNNNNNNNNNNNNNNNNNNNNNNNNNNNNNNNNNNNNNNNNNNNNNNNNNNNNNNNNNNNNNNNNNNNNNNNNNNNNNNNNNNNNNNNNNNNNNNNNNNNNNNNNNNNNNNNNNNNNNNNNNNNNNNNNNNNNNNNNNNNNNNNNNNNNNNNNNNNNNNNNNNNAAAUGCAUGUCUUUUGGCGGUGAGCUAGGGCGAGAUAUUUGGUGGGCGAUGACCAAAUUUCUCACGUUACUUUUUUGCGGAUAAGUGCAAGCUCACGCAUCUCCUCGCUCGCACAAGCUCGACACUGCAUCCCCCCUUCCUACAUGUGAUGAGGUUGGCUCCGCGGAAACAUCUGAUUUGAUGUUCAUUCGGGGCCAGCCUCUGGACCGGUUUGAGUUUCAUGCGGGCCACUUUGUCCAUGGAGCUCAAGUAACUGAACGGCCCAAAUUUGCAUCGCCCCCCAGCCUGCAUGGAUGUCUUGCGAGCAACCAAACACGCUUGAAGUGUAUUACUUUUUUUAAAGGAGGUUAAACCCCCAGCCUCUACAUCAAUAGAUGCAUGCAACCAUUGAGAGAGUCCUGGAUUAGGGGGUAUCCGGAUAGCCGGACUAUAUACUUUGGCCGGACUGUUGGACUAUGAAGAUACAAGAUUCAAGACUUCGUCCCGUGUCCGGAUGGGACUCUCCUUUGCAUGGAAGGCAAGCUUGGCGAUUGGAUGUUAGAUCUCCUUCUCUGUAACCGACUCUAUGUAACCCUAGCCUCCUCCGGUGUCUAUAAAGCAGAGGGUUUAGUCCGUAGAACAACAAUCAUAAUCAUAGGCUAGCUUCUAGGGUUUAGCCUCUAUGAUCUCGUGGUAGAUCAACUCUUGUAAUGCUCAUAUCAUCAAGAUCAAUCAAGCAGGAAGUAGGGUAUUACCUCCAUCAAGAGGGCUCGAACCUGGGUAAAACAUCGUGUCCCUUGCCUCCUGUUACCAUUAGCCUUAGAUGCACAGUUUGGGACCCCUACCCGAGAUCCGCCGGUUUUGACACCGACAUUGGUGCUUUCAUUGAGAGUUCCACUGUGUCGUCACCGCAAGGCUUGAUGGCUCCUUCAAUCAUCAACAACAACACGGUCCAGGGUGAGAAUUUUCUCCCCGGACAGAUCUUCGUGUUCGGCGGCUUCGUACUGCGGGCCAAUUCGCUUGGCCACCUGGAGCAGAUCGACAGCUACGCCCCUGGCCAUCAUGUCUGGUUAGGAAACUUGAAUUACAUGGUCGACAUCUAUGGAGACUUGAUCUUCGACGAAUUCGGGCCUGCGUCAGGAGUGCCGAACGAUCACGACAAGCACGACUUGGAUCUGCCGUCGGACAGUAUUCGGGAUAGCGCACCUACAGCAGCUCUGGACCUAAAUCUGGGGCAGAUCGCGUCGUCCGAGGACGGGUGGAUGGACCCCGCCAUGGAGGCCGCAUACUCAGCGGCAUUGGAGCCAAACACAGACCCCACCUCUAAGGAAAUCUGUGUCGCCGGACCCCCGGACUUGUUUCCGGCCGUAGGUCCUGGACUACGCGCAUCCGUGCCCAUCGAAGCUGAUUGGGCACCAAUCAUGGAGUUCACCGCCGCGGAUAUCUUUCAGCGCCCACGCUUUGGUGAUGUGCUAAACUCUUUAAGGUCUCUCUCUUUGUUAGAAGACUCUUGGCCGAACUAUGUUCGGCUCGAGGGGGAUAUGGAAGACGAAGAAAAUCACGGCCCACCCAACACCCACUUAAUAGCCAGUGUCGAUGACUUAACGAACAUGCUUGACUUCGACUCCGACGACAUCAACGGUAUGGACGUCGAUGCAGGGGACGACUUGGAACCACCGCCCACGGGGCGCUGGACUGCCACCUCAUCAUAUGAUAUAUACAUGGUGGACACGCCUAAGGAGGACAACGGCGACAAAAAGGACACAACGGAGGAUAAACCCCCCAGACAAAAGCCAAAACUACGGCGUAGGCGCCGCUCUAAGUCUAGCCACAGUAAAAAUAGCGAUAACAGCACAAGAAAAAUCGACACCCCGGUCAACUCCAAAGGCAACAACGACCAUAUGGACCCAGUGAUGGAGCAGGAUGAGCCAGGUCCCGCCGAACACAGCCUGGAGCAGACGCCCGAUCACAGCGAUGCUGAGGGUCGAACUCAUCAACCUACCUUCAGAGAGAAGGACAGUCCGGACGAUGAUGCAUUCAUCAUCCCAGAAAAAUGUUUGGAACAAGAUAACCUCCACAGAAGGCUUAUGGCCACUACAAGGAGCCUAAAGAAGCAGAAGCAAAGGCUUAAGACCGCGCAGAAUACGCCCAACCGCAGAUGAAAUAAAGUGCUGGACACUAAAGAAAAAUAUGGCGACGAUCGCCACACAAAGAGCUACCCAAAGCGCAAGUUGUUGCCCGAAUUCGACGAUGAGGCCAUAGAGCCCAUUCCGCCGAAGAACAAUAUGGCCAAUCAGCUGGACCAACCACUUCAUGGCCGUGAUAGAGCAGCUACUGACGCCGCACACGAUUUACGUGAGCUCCUGGACAAAAAGGCCGGCGCGACCAGGUCCAUCUAUGGAUCUAGAGGACAUGCUCCGGCGUGGGAUUAUGGUCACCAAGACGAUCACACUAAUCGAAUACCAGUUCGGAAUCAACACCGGACACAACAACAGUCGACAGCAUGCCACGACAUGUCCAGAUACAGAGGGGCUGUGCACCCUCUGUGCUUCACCGACGAGGUGCUGGAUCACGAAUUUCCACAGGGAUUCAAAUCCGUGAACAUAGAGGCAUACGACGGAACGACAGACCCUGGGGUCUAGAUUGAGGAUUUUAUCCUUCAUAUCCACAUGGCUCGUGGGGAUGACCUCCACGCCAUCAAAUACCUUCCCCUCAAGUUGAAAGGGCCAGCUCGGCACUGGUUGGAAAGCCUCCUCGAAAAUUCAAUCGGAAGUUGGGAGGAACUUGAGGACGCUUUCAGGGCCAAAUUUUAAGGGACCUAUGCCCGACCUCCGGACGCAGACGAUUUAAGUCACAUAAAACAACAGCCCGGAGAGUCAGCCCGUAAGCUUUGGAACAUAUUUCUCACUAAGAAGAAUCAAAUUGUCGAUUGUCCGGAUGCCGAAGCCCUAGCGGCCUUCAAGCACAGUAUCCGAGACGAGUGGCUCGCCAGACACCUCGGCCAAGAAAAGCCGAGGACAAUGGCGGCCUUAACAAGCCUUAUGACCCGCUUUUGCGCGGGUGAGGACAGCUGGUUGGCCCGUAGAGGCACCAGUGACCCAAGCACAUCCGAAAUAAGGGAUGGCAACGGGAAGCCACGGCGCAAUAAAAACAAGCGUCGAAACAAGGAAGAAAGUCCAGACAACACGACGGUCAACGCCGGAUUCAGGAGCUCUCGACCCGGUCCACGAAAGAAGCCAUUCAAAGGCAGCAAAGAGGGACCGUCCGGCCUGAACAAAGUCCUGGACAGAUUGUGCCAAAUUCAUGGCACCCCCGAAAAACCUGCGAAUCACACUCACAGAGAAUGCUAGGUCUUCAAGCAGGCUGGCAAGUUAAAUGCCGAACACAAGGGAAGGGAAACACCAAGUGAAGACGAGGAUGAGCCUCGUCAGCCAAACACUGGGGGACAGAAAAAAUUCCACCAGAAGUCAAAACAGUAAACAUGAUAUACGCGACUCACAUACCAAACAGAAGGCGCAAACGCGCGCUCAGAGACAUAUACGCUGUAGAGCCCAUCGCCCCCAAAUUCAACCCCUGGUCGGCCUGCCCGAUCACCUUCGAUCACAGGGACCAUCCGACUAGUAUCUGGCAUGGAGGAUCGGCUGCCUUGGUGCUCGACCCAAUAAUCGAUGGAUACCAUCUCACUCGUGUCCUCAUGGACGGCGGCAGUAGUCUUAAUCUGAUAUAUCAGGACACUGUCCGCAAGAUGGGGAUAGACCCAUCCAGAAUCAGCCAAAGUAACACCACCUUUAAAGGAGUGAUACCAGGCAUUGAGGCCCGCUGCAGGGGCUCCCUCAUAUUAGAGGUGACAUUCGGUUCUCCCGACAACUUCAGAAGCGAAGAAUUACUCUUUGACACCGCUCCCUUCCGAAGCAGUUAUCAUGCAUUACUCGGAAGAAUGGCCUUCGCUCGCUUCAACGCAGUACCGCACUACGCCUACCUUAAACUCAAGAUGCCUGAUCCACGUGGCGCCAUCACUGUUAGCGGAAACACAGAGCGUUUCUUACAUGCGGAAGAGUAUGUGGCGGCUCUAGCAGCCGGACACUAAGCGGCCUCUCCUAUCAGAAUGCAUGAUCGGUCGUUAAGACCACGGACACGGUUAGAUGAGUCCGGCGCACCAUCGUCGGUAACAGCCCAGAUAAACCUGAGCUGGGUGCUAUACAUAUACCAGGGGUUGCAAACAUGUAAUAAAGCCCACAAUUUGGCUUGACCUUAUUAACAUGCCGAUGUCUCACAUUUCUACUGUCCAUUGAGAAUAACCAACUUUUCGCACGCUUACGCCAUACUCUUUUACAUGAGUUUUCCUUUUUACAAACACCAUUCGCGCGACACCCUUCCAAGAUACGGCACAACGAAGACAAAGGCACAGACGUGCAGUAGGGCCCCGCUCAAAGGUUUCUCUUUAGAUUAAGCCCCUGUGUAAACCUUCUUUACUGUCUCUUGUUGCUUGACAUCCCGUGGGUAUUCAAUACACCCACAGGGGAUACUGGCGUUAUUGGCAUUUCGCCACGACAGACUAAUGCACGUACCUGGAAAUACAGGGUUCAUAAUCAAGGGUGCUACUCAGCCCAGUAUAUGUUAUAAAGUCUGAAUACCUUCGGGAGUGUUCGGCGUCACAAGUUUGGCGUUAUAUGCAUCAGCUCCGAAUCAUGUCUUUGGUCAAAUGUUGGGUUUGCCCGGCUCCUGGGUUUGCUGCCUUACGUUCCGUUCUAUCGGCUAAGGCGGCCAAAGGACAACUACUGUGAUUGUGCCCUGGUUAUUCCGGAUGAGCACCUCAGUAGAGAAAGCCGAAAACUGACUGUCUUGAUACAGCGAGAGACUGGUCAACCACUCGAGGACUCAUCAGAAUUUUUGGGAUUCCUCCGCAUUAACGAAGGACCGUUUCCCGGUCAUGUACAUGUGCGCCCGUAUCCGGAUGCACGCGAAGGUACCAGGGGCUACAUAGUAGCCCCACCGUCAAACUCCUAUGGCUAAGUGAAAGUGUUAAAGCUAUAUAGUCCGGUUUCCUAGUUCGACGUGUGAUCACCUCCUUAAUGGACCAAGACGUUGGAUCAAGUGUGAUUACGCACAUUUUCGCAAACACUCCCGCAUUAUAUGCGUGGGGGCUGAAGCCAACGACUGCUAACUUUCAGGUUAUAUACAUACAUCAAACGGCCGCACAGGAGGCACUAUAACACUUUCGGGCGAAAGUAUAAACAUAGCCUCUAUAAUUAAAAUAGAAUUGUUUUUACAAUUGAAUGACUUGUCACUCGAACAUGACACUCUUCGAGCACUGAGCCUCUAUUAAACGGGCACCUUCUGUGACCUGCUCAAAAUAGUGCUCGGCUGGGUCCUGGCUUCCUGCCGGACUCUGGAUUGCAAUGCUGGUGGCCUCCAUAUCCGCCCAAUAUGUUUUAACAUGGGCAAGAGCCAUCCACGCACCCUCUAUGCAUGCCCACCUCUUCAUGGCAUCGAUUCACGAUACGGCGCCAAGGAAUUGUUGCACUAAACCAAAAUAACUGUCCGACCUUGGUCCCUUCGGCCAUAGAUGGUCUAUUACAGACCUCAUUGCAAGACCGGACAACCUAUGGAGCUCGGCCAUAGCAGCCAUCCUCUCACUCAAUGGCAACAUGCGCGUUGGAGCACUGAAUUGCGACUAGAACAACUUUUCUACUUCAUUCUCUUUUUGAUCCUUGAAGAACUUGGUCGCAUCAGCCGUACUUUUUGCCAGAUCCGCAUACGCGUCUGCAGCACUCCAAAGUUGAUCCAGAGGAGCGUACUUUAGAUCUCCGGACUUCAUCUGCAACAAAUAGGGGCUUCCAGUCGCGAUUUCUCCGGCCUGUCGAAGCUCCUCCCGCGCAGCUCUAAUUUCAGAACGCGUCUCCUUGGCCGCAUCAAGGGCCUUCUUCAGGUCAGCCGACUUCGUCUGAUUCUCCUUUUCAAGGAGCUCAUACCGGCCGGCGGCGUCUCUCAGCUCCAGAGCCAUCUCGGCUAUUUUAUCUUUGCUUCAGCGAUGAGCAGCCUGUUCGGCUCUCAAAUCUUCGGCCGCCUUUAGGGCAGCCGCACUGCUAGCCCGGCCUUGUUCCUUGGCUAGGGCAAGUUCCGCCCUCAGGGCCUCCAGGGCAGCAGCUCCGCCUGCAGCCAAAGCAUAUCAUAUUAACAUUAUGCUCAUCUUAAUAUUUCCUAAAACAAAUGAGGAAAAAAGGAGCACAUACUCUGUGACUCGUCAAGCCGCUCGUUUACAAGCGUGAUGUCGGCGUCCACCAAAUCAAUCUGUCGCCUCAGUUCAGCGAAUUCAGCGGUCCGGUCUACCGCCGGACCCUUAGCCACCUGCGCAUGAAUGCACUGCGAUCAUUAUUUGGGAGUGUGAUCCUCCGUUUGCUGCCUAGGGCUGGCAACCAGAGUCUCAGGGGCUACUAUCCAUACGGAGCACACCUAGCGCAUGCGGUACAACCGAAAAAUUACGUGUUUCAUUGUGUACCUCAAAGCCUUUGAGCAGGCUCGUAAAAGCUUCAUUCAACCCGCUUGUGGCAGAUGAAAUCUUCUCAAACACCGUACCCAUUAACGUACGGUGAUCCUUCGAGAGAGCAGCUUGCUCAAGAUGGCCCGACAGUGUGUCCGGCCGGGCGCUGGACUAUCCCGGACCCUUCCUAUUGCCCCCCGUGGGAGCCGAACACUCCGGGCUCGGGGCGGCCGAAGUGUUAGCUUCCGGCCUCGACGAAUCUGGACUCCUCUGUGACGACACCUCAGGGUCGCCCGCCCCAUGGGGCGGAGAGGCAGGUGGGGUUUCACUCUCCAUCAUCUCCGGAAGAAGAUCCCCCGAAGACGAACUCUGUUGAGAAGAGCUACUAGCCGGACUGCAAAGGAUGGAUCCUGGUUAUUGUUCUCGGAGGAGGAAGCAGUAGCUUUUUAUUUACGAUUAACUUACAGCUCGGUGGAGGGUUGGCCCGUUUGCGGGCAUGGUGCGGUGAGGACGCCCUCUGGGGCAGGGCCCCCUGGUGAAGUCUUCUUCCCUUGUUUAGGCACCACCGUUUCCAAGUCUUUGGAGGUGGCCCUCUUCUUCCCGUGGAGGGAGGAAACCUUAGAUUCACCUCCCCGACUAUCGUCCUUCGUGGAGACAGUAAUUCCCCUGGUUUGGAUGUGCAAUGUGUGAAGCUCGGCUUCUCUAUUCUUCCCUUCGUCUUUCCCCGAGGGCACUUGACUUAGCGCACGUCUAAGCAUCCUGGCUAUCGCAGGACUAGGCGAGCCUUCGGGAAGUGGGGCCGGACACCUGAUCCUCUCCGCCUUGCUGAGCCAAUCCUGGCCGCGGAUAGUUUUCAGAAUAAUGUUGUGAUAAAUAUAAACGAAGUGUUCGGUUUCAGGGUUACUUACUUGGGUAUCUGGGCGGUUGCAGCUCAGGCCCGCAUCCUCGGUGGUAUCCGGACACUUUACUCGUGGUCCGAAGAAUAACCUAUACAUCCCUUCGAGCGUCAUGCCGAAGAAGCGUUGAAUAGUUCGCGGACCUUCUGGGUUGAACUCCCACAUUCGGAGAGGCUGACGUUUGCACGACAGGACCCGUCGAACUAGCGUUACCUGAAUUAUCCUGACAAGACUGAUAUCCCUCUCAAGAAGCUCCCGAAUGCCGCUCUGCAAUGUCGGUACGUCAUUAGCAGGCUCCAGUCCAGUCCCAUGUUGGCCCACGAUGCCAGUUGAGGCGGAGGGCCCGGGCGGAAGGCGGGGGCAGUCACCCACUUUGUGCCUCGGGGAGCUGUGACGUAGAACCACCUCCGUUGCCAUAGAUCGGACACCUCCGAGAAGGAACCCUCUGGCCAUGGGGCAUCGGUGUUUCUGCUUAUCGCAGCGCCUCCACACUCCGCGUGUCUCCCCUCGAUCACCUUCGGCUUUACAUUGAAGGUCUUGAUCCAUAAGCCGAAGUGCGGGGUGAUGCGGAGAAAGGCUUCACACACGACGAUAAACGACGAGAUGUGAAGGAUGGAAUCCGGAGAUAGAUCGUGAAAAUCUAGCCCGUAAUAGAACAUGAGCUCUCUCACGAAGGGAUCAAGAGUAAAGCCUAAGACUCGGAGGAAGUGAGAAACAAAUACAACGCUCUCGUUGGGUUCGGGAGUAGGGAUGACCUGCCCUGGAGCAGGAAGUCUGUGCUUGACAUCGGCGGUCAGAUAUCUGGCCUCCCUGAGCUUCGGAAUGUCCUCCUCUGUGACAGAGGAGGCCAUCCACCGGCCUUGAAGGUUGGAUCCGGACAUGAUUGAAGAUCCGAAGUGCCUAAGCUUGAGCUUCGGGUGUUGGAACUCGAGAUGCGGAAAGGCGCAAGCGUGUUAAGAGAAAGGAAUAGGCCUCAGCCCCUUUAUAAAGCGGGUGAAUCUCAAGCGUCCUCAGCGUAGCCGUUUGGGACUUUCCUAAAAACACGGAGUCACGCCAACAGGCGUAGUUGGGUUGCCCGCACCCGUAUUGAUGAGAAUCCCGCAAUAAGGGGGACACGAUCUCUGCUUCGACGAGGUGUGCCAAUGAAACCGCCUUGCAGUGCGUGUCGUGGCAGGCUGAGGAAAACGGUUCAUAUUAAGCCAAGCCGCGGUGUAAGGGCACGCCGUGAAAAAUUGUCAGCAGAUUAGAUUUGUAAAGUAUUGUGCUCUCUACGGUGGUGUGUGGAAAUUAUUUUGUAGAGCCGGACACGAUCCUUGUGUUCAGAAUCUACCUUGGAGUAUUUGGAGAUGGAACCCGCCUUGCAAUGCCGAAGACAAUCUGCGCGUCGGACUCAUCGUUAUUGAAGCCUGGUUCAGGGGCUACUGAGGGAGUCCUGGAUUAGGGGGUAUCCGGACAGCCGGAUUUAUACUUUGGCCGGACUGUUGGACUAUGAAGAUACAAGAUUGAAGAGUUCGUCCCGUGUAACGCCCCGGAUCCGAUGCGCCAGGUGUCUGCCAGUUAUUCGCCGUCGUUGCCAUGGCAUUUGCUUGUGUGUUGCAUUUUAUCAUGUCAUCAUGUGCAUUUCAUUUUGCAUACGUGUUCGUCUCGUGCAUCCGAGCCUUUUCCCCGUUUUCCGUUUUGCAAUCCGGCGGUCCUAUGUCCUCCAGCGUUCCCCUCUUCUCUCUUUUCGUGAGUGGGUAUUAAACUUUCUCGGAAUGGCCCGAGUCUUGCCUGUCAAGUUUCGUGCCAUUUGGAGUUCGUUUGGUACUCCAACGGUUAACCGGGUAACCGUAAAGCCCUCUUUGAGUUGCAGCCCAACACCCCUUCCAAACUGGCCCAAAACCCAUCUAACUCCCCUCCAUGCUCUCGGUCGUUCGAUCACGAUCGUGUGGGCGAAAACCGCUCCUCAUUUGGACUCUCCUAACUCCCUCUACCUAUAAAACUAGCUCCUCCCCCAAAUUUCACGAUUGAUCCCCCCGAAACCCUAGCCAUUUUUCGUCCUCGCGCCGCCGGACACGUCCGCCCGAGCCGGACAUGUCCGCCGGCCACGUCGCCCGGCCAAUCUCGUGCUGCCACGUCGCUCGCGCCGCCACCCCAGCCUAUCCCGCGCUGCCACGUCAGCCCCGCGCCUCCCUCUCUCUCUCCUCCCGCCGCCGCGGCCCNNNNNNNNNNNNNNNNNNNNNNNNNNNNNNNNNNNNNNNNNNNNNNNNNNNNNNNNNNNNNNNNNNNNNNNNNNNNNNNNNNNNNNNNNNNNNNNNNNNNNNNNNNNNNNNNNNNNNNNNNNNNNNNNNNNNNNNNNNNNNNNNNNNNNNNNNNNNNNNNNNNNNNNNNNNNNNNNNNNNNNNNNNNNNNNNNNNNNNNNNNNNNNNNNNNNNNNNNNNNNNNNNNNNNNNNNNNNNNNNNNNNNNNNNNNNNNNNNNNNNNNNNNNNNNNNNNNNNNNNNNNNNNNNNNNNNNNNNNNNNNNNNNNNNNNNNNNNNNNNNNNNNNNNNNNNNNNNNNNNNNNNNNNNNNNNNNNNNNNNNNNNNNNNNNNNNNNNNNNNNNNNNNNNNNNNNNNNNNNNNNNNNNNNNNNNNNNNNNNNNNNNNNNNNNNNNNNNNNNNNNNNNNNNNNNNNNNNNNNNNNNNNNNNNNNNNNNNNNNNGCCCCGACCCCGCCGGCCGAGCUCGCCUCGCCGGAGCCGCAGCUCCCCGGCGCGCCCCGUCCUCGCCCCGACGAGAUCCGGUGCCCCCGCGUCGACCCCGGCCGGAUCCGCUCGUCCCCGGCCGUCUCCCUCCUCUCCGGCGUCUUCUCCGGCGAGGAUCCGGUGAACCUCGGUUCGCGUGCCCGAGGUUGACUUUCCCCCUCCGAAAAUCUCUCUUAAGUCCCAGAUUUUUUUAAUUUUCAUGCCCUGUUCAUUGCAUUGUAACUCUGCAUCCGUAGCUCCGUUUCGUGCGUGUGAUAUGUCAAAUUGUUCGCCUCGACGAGUACAUCAUUUCGUUCUAUUGCAUCAUUUUCAUUUAAGGUCAUCUAGAUGCCCGAAUCAUCGUCGUAAGAGUGCUUCAUAAUGUUUUCUGCUGUCUGUUAUCAGAACGAGCUCUUUUGUCAUUUUUGCCAUGAUUAAUGUGUGCAUCCUAUGAGGUUGAUGUCUUCAUGUGUUUUGAACUAGGCUAUGUCUUCUUUACAGAGGUGCUUACCAUGUAUUUUUGUGAUCAAUGUGGUGACUAGCACAAGCAUGCAAACUAGGCUUCGUAUUAAUGCUGAUUUUAGUCCCUGUUCUGCUGUUAUUUUGAUGCCAUGUAAACUUGAUGCUACAGAGAGAUCCAUGCAUAUUUAGGGAUACUUCAGUAAGGAUGUUUUGAACAAUAGGUUAUUGUCUAUCCAUUCAUGGCCUUGUUUGCAAUUAUGGAGUAUCCUAGCAUGUCAUUUUCAUGCUCUACUUUUGCUUGAAAAUGUUUCCUGACAGAUUAUUUACGUGUUAUUCAAUUUGGCCAAGGUUGCUAUAGUUGAUCCUUGCAUGCUAUGGACUUAUUUUUGACUUGGUUUGUUUCACAAACAUGUUUUCUUGAUGAUGCUAUGCUUAUAUUGCCAUGCAAUGACUUAUAGUGAGUGAUUCAAGCUUGUUAAGUAGUGUUCAUGAUGUUGCUGUUUUGCUAGGCUGAAUCUGUUAUUUCGUGAUGCUAUAUAAACAUGUUGCUACUAAUCAUUCUAUGUAUAAUCUGGAGAUGUUCUAUAAACAUGUUUUGAUCUACAUGUCAUCCUCUAUCCAUCCAUGCCCCUGGUUGCAUUUAUAGGUUGCUGUAGCUUGUUCAUAUCUUGCUCCAAAGUUGCUUGAAAAUGUUGUUGUCAGCCUGUUUACAUUAAGUUCACUUGUUCCCAUAUGUUUUGCUAGUGAUCCAUGUAUCCUAUGACCUUGCUAUUGCCAUGCUUAGCUCCACAAACAUGUCUUCUUACUGUUGGCUACCUUGCCAUGCCAUGUAAUGCUCUGUAGUGAGUUGCACAAGCUCAUCUACAUGCCUACAUAAUUAUGUUCCUGCCAUGUUUGAAUCUGUUUAAUAACUUGCUAUGUUUACGUGAGUGCCAUUAUAUCUUCUGAUCCCUUUUGGCUUAUGGUCAGUAAGGGUCUUUUGAUCUAUGCAAUUAGUAGAUUCAUGCCAUGCCUUUGUUUGUCAUUAUAAGUUUCUGUACCAUGUUGUUUGAUAGCUCUAAACAUUGCAUCGUGAUGUUAUUUUCUGCAAAGUCUGAAAUUGUUAUAACUUGCAAUCUUACCAUGUGUGUUUGAGCAUGUUCUAGUGGUUUCUAGAGAUAGCUCAGUGUUCAUGUUUUGUAAUGGUCUACCUGUACAUCAUGACCAUGCCUUUUGUUUUGAUGUUGGGGUGCAGUAGCAUGUUGUUUUGAUGCUUGUAAUAUGCCUAGUUGCUGUUUUGGACAGAUUGUUGCUAUAACUUGUAUAGGGUGCAUGUGUUGAACCGUUGCUCCGUUUUGAGUGUGCUCUAUAUGAAACUUGCUUAGAAUUGCAUGUAGUUUCAUAUUAUCAUGUUGCAUACUUGUUUUGAAGUGUUUGCUUGAUGUUUGGGUGCAUUUUGCAUCAAUGCCAUGUUUAACUUGUUUUGCUCAUAUCUUCCAAGCCGUAGCUCCGAACUAAAUGAACUUUAUAUGUAACUUGACUAGAAUCUCGUGUAGAUCAUCUUGGUGCAUCUUAACUUGCUGUUUAACAACUUGAACAUAAGGUUUAUUCAUAUCUGGACCAACUUCGAAAUUUGCAUAUGAGGACUUACCGAAAUUGUUAUAUGUUGUUCCCGGCCUCAUUUAAACUUGCCUUGAUGUGUUGCUCUUGUUUGCAUCAUCUCUUGCCAUGAAUAGCUUCAUGUAGCUUGGUCAUGCAUCAUGCUUGUUCGUGCAUCAUGCCUUGUUCAUGUGUGGUGUGUUUACUAUGUUGUGUGCUUCUUUUCGAUAGUUCCUAUUUCGUUGCGAUCGUGAGGAUACGUUCGUCUACGGUUGGUUCAGCUUCAUCCGUUUGUCUUCUUCAUGGAUUCGUUCUUCUUCCUUGCGGGAUUUCAGGCAAGAUGACCGCUACCCUGGAUCUCACUACUAUCAUUGUUAUGCUAGUUGUUUCGUUCUAUCGCUAUGCUGCGCUACCUAUCACCUGUUUAUCAAGCCAUCCCAUAUUGCCAUGAACCUCUAACCUUUGACACCUUUCCUAUGCAAACCAUUGUUUGGCUAUGUUCCCGCUUUGCUCAGCCCCUCUUAUAGCGUUGCUAGUUGCAGGUGAAGUUGAAGAUUUCUCCAUGGUGGACAGGAUUUUGGUUGGGAUAUCACAAUAUCUCUGAUAUUAUUAAUGCAUCUAUAUACUUGGUAAAGGGUGGAAGACUCGGCCUUUUGCCUAGUGUUUUGUUCCACUCUUGCCGCCCUAGUUUCCGUCAUACCGGUGUUAUGUUCCCGGAUUUUUGUGUUCCUUACGCGGUCGGGUGAUUUAUGGGACCCCCUUGACAGUUUGCUUUGAAUAAAACUCCUCCAGCAAGGCCCAACCUUGGUUUUACCAUUUUCCUCACCUAGCCCUUUUUCCCUUGGGAGUCGCACAUCCCGAGGGUCAUCUUUAUAUUAUUAUUAUCCCCUCCGGGCCAGUGCUCGUUGUGAGUGUUGGUCCAACCUGUCAACCGCCGGUGGCCAUCAGGGGCAACUCUGGGCUGGCCUACCAGAAGUUUGGACAAUCCGGUGUACCCUGAGAACGAGAUAUGUGCAGCUCCUAUCGGGAUUUGUCGGCACAUCCGGGCGGCUUUGCUGGUCUUGUUUUACCAUCGUCGAAAAUUCUUGUAAACCGGGAUUCCGAGUCUGAUCGGGUCUUCCUGGGAGAAGGUCUAUUCCUUCGUUGAUCGCGAGAGCUUGUCAUGGGCUAAGUUGGGACACCCCUGCAGGGUAUAAUCUUUCGAAAGCCGUGCCUGCGGUUAUUGGCAGAUGGGAAUUUGUUAAUGUCCGGUUGUAGAUAACUUGACACCAGAUCCGAAUUAAAACGCAUCAACCGCAUGUGUAGCCGUGAUGGUCUCUUCUCGGCGGAGUCCGGGAAGUGAACACGGUUUCUGGGUUAUGUUUGACGUAAGUAGGAGUUCAGGAUCACUUCUUGAUCAUUACUAGUUGACGGCCAUUCCUUUGCUUCUCUUCUCGCUCUUAUUUGCGUAUGUUAGCCACCAUAUAUGCUUAGUCGCUGCUGCAGCCUCACCACUUUACCCCUUCCUUUCCUAUUAAGCUUUGCUAGUCUUGAUACCCAUGGUGACGGGAUUGCUGAGUCCUCGUGGCUCACAGAUUACUACAACAACAGUUGCAGGUACAGGUUCAUGCAAUGUUCAUGACGCGAGAGUGAUGCUUGUUUGCGUUGAGAUCUUCUUCUGCUUCUUCGAUCAGGGGAUAGGUUCCAGGUCGGCAGCCUGGGCUAGCAGGGUGGAUGUCGUUUGAGUUUCUGUUUGUGUUUCAUCCGUAGUCGGAUGAUGCUCUGAUGUAUUGUGAUGUUGUAUUCGAGUGGCAUUGUAUGCCUUAUGUAUGUAUCCCCAUCUAUUAUGUAAUGUUGAUGUAAUGAUAUCCACCUUGCAAAAGCGUUUCAAUAUGCGGGUCUAUCCUUGGUGGGACCUUUGAGUUCCUUUUGGAUAGGGUCGCAUAUUGGGCGUGACAUCCCGUGUCCGGAUGGGAAUCUCCUUUGCAUGGAAGGCAAGCUUGGCGAUUCGGAUGUUAGAUCUCCUUCUCUAUAACCGACUCUAUGUAACCCUAGCCUCCUCCGGUGUCUAUAUAAACUGGAGGGCUUAAUCCGUAGAACAACAAUCAUAAUCAUAGGCUAGCUCCUAGGGUUUAGCCUCUACGAUCUCGUGGUAGAUCAACUCUUGUAAUACUCAUACCAUCAAGAUCAAUCAAGCAGAAAGUAGGGUAUUACCUCCAUCGAGAGGGCCCGAACCUGGGUAAAACAUUGUGUCCCUUGCCUCCUGUUACCAUUAGCCUUAGACAUACAGUUCGGGACCCCCUACCCGAGAUCCACCGGUUUUGACACCGACAACCAUCUUUAUUAAUUAUUACACAAAGGUCUAAUAAGAACAUACAUCAAAUCACCCGAAGCCACCACUCACACCUACAAAUUUGAUAAUGAGGAGUGCUCUCACUCCUCAUAUCUAAAACCGGUAUCGUCGCUGAUCCAUCCACAUAACGUAUCAGGACUAAAAGCCGGUGCAGCAGACCUAAAAAGCACACCACAUGCACAUGUUUUAGAAGCCGCCAUCUUUCAUCGGACCACUUACCCAUCUUCAGGAGAGAGAUCUGCAUCAUCCUUGCCAGUCCAGACAUCCGUCGACGCCACCACAGCGCCCAACGGCGCCACCGCCUUGCGCUCGUCCGUCCAGACACGAAGACUCUAGAUGAUUUGUUGCGCAUAGCACCUGCCAACCAGGCAUGACUCAGCAUAGAACCUGUCGGCCAGGCAUGACUUGAUAGCUCCAUCGAAGCUUUGUGCAAGACGGAGCCGGUUCGCCUCCUGCCUCUGUCUUCCAGCGCUGCUCUACAAACGAUGCUCCCAGGAGAGAAAUGGCACCGUAGUACCGCCAUUGUCUCAUCUGGAAGACCAGAUCCUAGGGUUUUCCCCCGAAGCAGUGCCCAUCACCAACAACUGUCAAGGACGCACACAAUGCCCACCACCACUCAGCCCUCCAGGCGACGCCUUCAGGAAGGUCACGGCAUCAAGGACGCCGCCGACCAUCGGAGUUAGGGUUUUCACCCGAGAGGCAGGGAGGGGGAAAAUGAAGGAGCAGACAUAGACCAACGUCUCCAAGAAGAAAACCGACGCCCUUGAGCGUUGUCGUCGGCGCGGCCGGCCGGAGCCGACCAAGGGGUUUCCCUCAAUCUGGAUCUCCUCCACCAGCUUCACUCGCGGUCAGUGUCCUAGCAACCACGCCGGCACCGCCAGAAAGCCGCAGGAGAGAAGCCCACCGAUCAGGGUCGGAUGAUAGUGGCCAGAUCUGGCGCCGCCGGCCGCCAGAGCAGUCAUGCCAGGCCAUUGUCCACGGAAGAUCCGUCGGCCGUCCGACCGGACCACCAGCACCACACCAGUCCCACCUCUCGUUGGCACGGAGGGGCCUUGCCGGAAGGGCCACCGCCCAGAUCCAAUUGCUCUCCAGCGCUAGGCGGAGCGGCAAGGGCCCCGUCACCGUAGUCCCUGGCUGUGCCACGGGCUUGCCCGACGCCAGCCUCAUGUGGCGGCGAGGGAGGGAGGGAGAGGAGGAGGGUACGCCGGUGGUGGGAGGGUGGUCGCCCGAGCGGGGGCGGCGCGGGGGUCACGCGGGUGACUAGCACCAAGAGAAUGGGCUGAUCUACAGAAUUUUAAUAAAAAAGUAUGGAAUUUUGUGUUUAAGAGAUGGGCACCCUGGGCGGCACCGGAUUUGUAAACUCUAUCGAAAAUGGCAAGCCUGGGCCAUACCCAGCCCAGAGCAUGUGAACAAUACCGUUUUAAAUCAGCAAUACUAAGGGGGUGUUUGUUUCGAGGGACUUUUUAGUGUAGGUACUAGAAAAAGUCCCUAGCAAACCAAACAGGGUGGGACUUUUUGGGAACUUUUUGCUAAAAGUCCUUAGAAGCACCUCCUUGACAGUCUUUUUCAAAAAGUCCCAUAGACUAGAAAAAGUCAUAGGACUAGAGAAACAAACACCACCUAAAGAUAGCAGUUGAGUCGGGAUCAUCAAGUCGACCAUUAUCAAACCGCUUAAGCCCAUGAGAGACCGUAGCAAUGCUCACCUACAAUGUCUCGCAUAGUGGGUUGGCUUGUCAACGUUCCUCAACUGGUUCUGGGGACCUUUUAAGGACUGGUUUGAACCAAUAUAGGAACCUUGCUUGUGCAGUUUUAAGAAGAUUUUGUCCAGUUUUCAUUUUCCUUCCUUUUAUGUUUUCUAUCAAUAUUUUUUAUUUUUAUUUCUCUUUUUUUUCAUCUUUCCUUUUAAAUUUUUUCUAUAAAUAUGUGUCGACUUUUUCAAAUAAAUGUUGAACAUGUUACUUAUAUAGGUUGAAUAUUUUCUAAUACACGUUGAACAGUUUUUAAAUAAAUGUUGAACAUUUAAAUUCGAUAGUUAAAUAUACACAAUAGAUUAAUGCAUUGUCAUUUACAUAAUUAUAUUCUGAUACAUAGACAAUAUUAGAACAACUUCAAGUGACAAAUAAGGAUUGUAAAUAUAGCAAUACUUGUAUGACUUACGCAAUCACGUAUCUCAAGUGUAAAACGAAAAAUAUCAUUUUAUAUUAAUAAUAAUCGGAUAACCCACGGGUAGCCCACAUGUAUACAAUUGUAAUGAUACCUUACCCAUGGCUAGAAACGACGACCCGGGUGCCCAUGGGUACCCAAACACAUGGGUUGCAUUGUUAUCUUUAACAAUGAGUCAUGUCUGAUGGCCUGGCGGUCCGGAUUAAAAGAGUUAAGCACCAUCAGACUAAUUCGGUAUGUGCUCUUUUUGUGGAAUGGGUGAUGAAAGUAUGUUUCAUGUUUGUUGACUUGUCCUAAGGCAAGAGCUCUGCUAUGCAGUUGAGGGAAGUGUUGAAUAUUUUGAGGGGAGAAUUUUUCAAUUUCUCGAGACCUAAUUGUAUGCUUAUCUUGUUGGAUAAGUUAACCCCUACAGUAUGAGAGCAAAACUUAUUCAUGUUCUGGAGAGCUUGGCACUCACGCAAUGAUCUGAUUUUUGCCAAGGGAAAAGAGUCUGUUUCAAACUCUGCUAACCUUGUGGAUAACUAUUGGACGUCGUCCUCGUCUUGCCAUUCCAAUGCAGAGUUGUUCCCUGGGAGUUGAUAAUGUGUCAAGGCCUAUUGAUACUCCUCUGAGUAUCCGUGAGGUAUGGCAGGCUCAGCGUUUGGAUUAUAUUAAGAUCAAUGUGGGCGUCAGUUUUGUGGCAGUUGCGCUGCGAGUGUGGGGUUUGUUGCCAGAUAUUUGGCGCGCGACAUCAUUAUCUCCUCUUGAGAUUAUAUUGGUUUGUGCACCGGUUUUGAUGAAGCAUAGCUUCGGGCGUGUCUCACAAAUAUUUAUAUUGGCAUCACUCUUCAUAAGUCUAGUAUUAUAUUAAGAUCAAUUUGGGCGUCCGUUUUGUGGCAGUUGCGCUGCGAGUGUGGGGUUUGUUGCCAGAUAUUUGGCGCGUGACAUCAUUAUCUCCUCUUGGUAUUAUAUUGGUUUGUGCACUGGUUUUGAUGAAGCAUAGCUUCGGGCGUGUCUCACAGGUAUUUAUAUUGGCAUCACUCUUCAUAAGUCUAUUAUUUUGAAAACAAACUGCUAUUUUGUGGUUUCUCUCCUUGCACGUGAUAACCUUAAUAGGUCGUCUCUCGUGACCACACAAAGCUACUUCCAAAUAUUAAGCCGUCCAAGAUCAAUAGGAAGGCUAAUGUGGUGGCUCACUAGAUAGCUAAGUAGGUCUUAUGGCUUUCUUUUGGCGAAUGUUGUAAGGAACAAUUGUAUUAAACUUUCUAAUUAAUUAAUACAUGGGGUGUUUUUUUGAUAAAAAAUGAGUCUGCCCGUGUUAACCUGAUCAGCUUCAAACUCAGACGACUCUAAUUUUGGGUGCACCUUGUUUGAGUGUGGCGUGUGUGUUGUACUCAAUGUUUUCUAAAAAAAAUGCUUGCAUUUCUCAAAUCUUUUGGAAGAAAAGAAAAAAAACCGCAUGGUCAAUUGAGUUCUAGAACGGGGAGGAAGUUCAAGUGCCUUGACUGUACGGGUCUUGUAACUUUACNNNNNNNNNNNNNNNNNNNNNNNNNNNNNNNNNNNNNNNNNNNNNNNNNNNNNNNNNNNNNNNNNNNNNNNNNNNNNNNNNNNNNNNNNNNNNNNNNNNNNNNNNNNNNNNNNNNNNNNNNNNNNNNNNNNNNNNNNNNNNNNNNNNNNNNNNNNNNNNNNNNNNNNNNNNNNNNNNNNNNNNNNNNNNNNNNNNNNNNNNNNNNNNNNNNNNNNNNNNNNNNNNNNNNNNNNNNNNNNNNNNNNNNNNNNNNNNNNNNNNNNNNNNNNNNNNNNNNNNNNNNNNNNNNNNNNNNNNNNNNNNNNNNNNNNNNNNNNNNNNNNNNNNNNNNNNNNNNNNNNNNNNNNNNNNNNNNNNNNNNNNNNNNNNNNAUAUUAUUCGAUACGGAAUGCACAUACCCCUUGGCACUAAGCUUAAACUCAAGCAUGCCGAAUUAUCAAACAAGCUCUCAAAAGUAGUAUUAGCGGCCAAGCCCCCGCCCCAGUGGAUGUAAUGAUGGGAUUUAUCGGUAUUAUGAUUGCGGCCUGCGUAGCCUAGCCGGUGCACGGCUCAAGUAAAUCUUCUUCCAAAAUGAAAGAAGAAACAAAGGCUAGCCAGGUACUAGUACACCCUACGUGCAUAAUUUCCCAUGUUUCCUCCUUUUCUGGCCGAGGAAAGGCGCGGAUGCUUUCUAGGAAUUUUUGUUCCGGCGCAGAGGGGCAAGAAAGGCGUGUGGUACUCACGUCAUAAUGGCGUGGUGAUGAUAUCAAGCGCACGCGGGGCCCAUCCCCAUCCCAUCCUAUCCAGUGGCGGAUUUGAGAAAAAAGAACCUCGGUGGCGCCUUCGUCACUUCCAAUUCACGUCGACGAUGUGAUCCACCCGCCCGUCCGUCCAUGACCCAUCACACGUCCAUCUCUCCCUUCCUGCCGUGCCCCAUUAGUUAGCGCUCAAAGCUGCGUAAAAUAAUUACUACACCGUCGCUUUGUGCACUGGAUGCAUAAUGUUAAUCGAGAGAAAUGGUCAAAUGGCGUUUGCUGCGGCACGCAUGCAAUGAAGCGGCCUGCUGCACGCUUUUGUUCUAGUAUAGUAUAGUGGCGGAUCUUGAGAAAGGAAGAAAGAAAACCUGUUGAACGGGAAACUUUCUAGGAGUACCUGACGUGCCUUCAAAUGCACAUGCAGAGGGACGCAAUGAUGCAUCACACACACGAGUUCGGACAAAAAGGAGCGUGAAAAAGACCAACCAACACGACGAGCCGCGGCCAAAGCCAACUUUUUCUCCCCGGGCCAACUUCGGCCAAUUACCACCCUUUCCGUCCACGCGACCAUGCACGGCCCGCAUCCAUCGAGGCGAGGCUGACCCGGCCAGGCCGACGCCCGCGCGCCCCGCCGGAGGAGGAGACCCGACUAGAGCGGUACCGGGCUACGGCGCUCGGACGGACGGACGGGGCCACAUUCUUCUUCCUCAGGACGACGAGUGUGCGCGUAGUACGUGGUGCGCGCGGCACACAAUGAUUCGGUUGGGUCGGGCCUCCCUCGGGCGGCGCGCGCGCGGCACGAGACGAGAAAAGGUGGCGGGCGAUACCCGAAGGAUCAAUCGAUCGAGGGCAGCCAAAAAGCCGCGCCGCGGCGCACACGCCAGCACCGGACACAAUCACGCGCCGCAGCAGCCUCUCUCUCUCGUCGCCUCGGCACGGCACGGCACGCGCGCGCAGGAACACUCCACCCAGACCCAGGACGGUGAGGAGGCGGAGGCCGGGCGGAGGGGCAGAACGUGGCUCGCGCCCAGGUGCGCCUUUUCGUUCCCCGUCGGUUCCAUCGGUGCCUCACGCAGCCUAGGAUGGAUAGAUAGCUAGAGGAAGGCAUCACGGCAGCAGCGGCGGCAGUAGGUCUGCUCCGUGGUUGCGUGCGACGGGCUGGGGUCCUUCCCUCCCUCCCUGCUUUACGUGGGAGGCGUCAAUGAGGAGCUUGGGCCAAACGGGGGAGGCAUGGCAUGGCAUGGCAUGCAGCGCAGAGGUCGUGUUCCCUGGCGCUGGGCACACGGGCCCUUUUUCUAAUGACUGCCCCGCAGCGCUGGUCGGCUUUAUACUCGGCGCGGCCGGGCCCACCGCGGUUGGCCUGCCUGCCGCCGGUGAUGCGCGUAGGUUUCAAACUGCGCCCCGAAUUGUCAAGUCGCAGCCCUGCUCCAACUUCCAUUGGUUUCUUUUCUUUUCAAUAAUAAUAAUAAUAAUAAUUCUAUAAUAUAUAACAAUAACGUGCUGCAAAAUGUACUCCCGGGCUCUCUUUUUCUAGGUGCAUGCCUCGGUCGGAGACUGUUUAAUUUUUUUAACACAAUACAGACGCAAGCGUUCAUAUACACGUGCAUACACGCACCUCUAUGAACGCAUACACGCACACCCUAUUUCUAUGAGCACAUCCGAAAGACUGAGCCGGCAUAUCAUCUUGAAAUUUAUAAAGUCACCAUAGGCACCUCGUCGUCGCUGGGAACGUCUCCUUCCAGUGAAUGCGCAUCGCCGAAAAUCUUGAAAUAAAUUUAGGAACAAAUGCGAGCACCAUGAUUUAAACCCUGAUGGGCUGGGUAUACCACAUUCCCUCUAAACAUCCAACCACAGGUUGGUUCGCGACGGUCUUAUAUAGAUGGAAAGAGGGAGUAAUACUAAUAACGUGCUUUGAAAUGUACUCCCCGGGGCUCUCAUUUUCUAGGUGCAUGCUCACGAGGAUAUAGACCUAGGGUAGGGUCAUAGGCCUAACCAACAUACCCUAUUCAAGGUCACUACCCUAGAGGCAAAGAAGCUCAAGGAACAACAGGGAGUACCCAAGGAAGACGUCGAGUGCAAGCCACUCGACCAACCAUAUCACUCGGGUAUCCCACCUUUUCGAAGACCACUCGACCAUACAAGAAACCACUCGACCUAUGAAGACCAGGAGUCACACGGAACUGCAAUAGUCGAACAUUCACUCCGUACUCUUCAUGGACAUUAAUGACACUUAUAGCUGGCGUUAUCACUAACGCCCCUCCUUUAUGUACAUUGAACCCUCUGUAACAGAGGGGAGCUGGGGUCCUGACGCACUCUAUAUAAGCCACCCCCUCCUCUGGGACAGGGGUUCGCACCCCCUGUAACACACACGCAUAUACUGAAAUCCAGUCGACCGCCUCCGGGCACCGAGAGUAGGGCUUUUACCUCCUCUGAGAGGGGUCUGAACUCGUAAACACUUGCGUAUAACCUCACCAUAGCUAGGACCUUGCCUCCUCCUACGUACCCCCUAUUCUUACUGUCAGUCUUAGUACCACGACAGUUGGCGCCCACCGUGAGGCAUAGCGUCUUAGCGACUCCCGGCGAGGUUGAAGUUUCUUCAGUCUUCAUCAACAUGGUUUCCGACGACGUUUGAUCAUGGGCCACGAGUUCCGACUCGGAGCGCUCACAUUCGUCGCCGACGAUUCGGUCUGGCUCCAGGAGGCCCCCCUCGGCCUGGCAAAUCUGAGGUUCGUCGCACUUCCGCGCGAGUGCCCGAGGCGUCCUUCUCCGGCAGCCGUCGACUCCGUACCAGUCGACGCCCGUGUCGACUCCUCGCUUCGCUGGACGCCGCCGCAAGCGGUCGGGCCACUUACGGCUCCAGCGGUGGGUAAAGCACACGCUGGCUAGGCAGGCGUUCACCCCUCAGGUCGCGACGAUCAAGCCCGACGUAUAUCACUGCGGUCCAGUCGACCCGUCGACUGACUUCGCAGACACACUUUCCGAGAGCGGGAGUUGUGACCCCGCGGCGGAGGUUCUCAUGGUCGACUCCCAUCGUAGCCCGCCUGGUUUCCACCGCAACGGCGAGAACAGGGUCGGUGACGAGUCGCUCGGCCACGAGGAGUACCAGCCUCAACCUCUUUGUUCGCAGCAGAGGGAGGAGCUGCGUCGCCGCAACGAGGAGGCUCUCCAUACCCCCCAUCAUAGGGGAAACUUCCGAGGCUCGGGCCUUGGAGGACGUCUGGCCACGCUGGCCGAGCGCAUCCGUUUGGAGAAUGUCCGGCAUUCUCUCGACGAGCGCGCCCGUCGACUGAUCCCCGGAUUCAGUCGGCACACGUGACAACUGUUUCCAUCGGAAACCCAGGUAUUCCGCACACCGAUCCAGAAUCUCGCAGCGGCUGCGCGUAUUGCGGAGUCCAUCCAGUCGUCCCGCUCGAAGGCUGGGAGAGGCCUGGAACAGAUCAGAGCGCUGCUCCGGGCAGCAGGAGAUCGGAACUCCGCGGUGUCCCAAUCGUGGAACAGAAUUCACAGUCGGUCGGUAAGGACAGAAACCAUUCAGUCGGCACACAGUCCUAGAUCACCGUUGAGACAAAGAGACCGUGAGCACCGUCUGGAUCGGCAUUUGGGAAGAGUUCAUGGAAAUGAUGACCUUGAGUUCGCCCGUGACAACUACCGUUGAGUGCCUUCUCCCCUUCCGAGGGGCGGGUCAAACGCGCCCCGUCGGUAUGAUGAUAGGCAUCCAUUCGGUAACGACCGCAGGGUUCUAGUCGACCCAAGGGAGCCUAGGUUCGACGCGAGGUCAGUCCUCAUUCAUGGCUUGGUCGACCGGAACAGAGCGUACAGAGAAGGGCUGAACAGAGAUAGACCCAGCGGCAGCAUGGUCCACGUGUCUGGCCCCGAGUGCUUUGGAAGGGCCAUCAGGGCCACGAGAUGCCCCACAACUUCAGAUUGGCAGCUGGUGUCAGCAAGUUCACGGGAGAGUUGAAGCCCGACACUUGGCUUGAAGAUUACCGAGUGGCUGUGCACAUCGGCGGCAGCAGCAAUGAGGUGGCCAUGAAGCACCUCCCUCUGAUGCUUGAAGGUUCUGCCAGAGCUUGGCUCAAUCAGUUGGCCCCUCAGAGUAUUUUGAGUUGGGAUGAGUUGGCCCGAGUGUUCACCAGAACAUUCGAGGGCACCUGCUAGAGACCAGUCGGUCUACCGGAGUUGCAACAUUGCGUGCAAAAGCCGAAUGAAACCUUGAGAGACUAUAUCCAGAGAUGGAUCACUCUGCACCACACAGUGGAGAAUGUGUCAGAUCACCAAGCAGUCUAUGCCUUCAAGGAAGGCGUUCGCUACAGAGAGCUCAAUCUGAAGUUCGGUCAGACAGGAGAUAUGAAUCUGACUCGGAUGAUGGAGAUUGCCACCAAAUAUGCUAACGGUGAAGAGGAGGACCGAUUUCGGAGUGGCAAGCAUAAAACAGUCGUCCAGGACACCGGAGGAGGGAAUUCCAGUCGGAAGCAGAAGCGAAAGGCUGAGGCAGCAGGGCCUGCCGAGGCAGGAGUGUUAAAUCAAGGGAAGUUCAAGGGGAAGCCGAAAGGGCCCUGGAAUCCCAAGAAAGUGAAAGAUCAAGAUGGGAACGAUUUGAUGGAUUUGUCGUGUCAUAUUCACACCAAGAAAGAUGAAGAGGGGAAUCUGAUCCUCCCCAAGCAUACCACGCGACAAUGUCGACUCCUGAUCCAGAGCUUCCAGAAGAAGGGUCAGCCCAGUGAAAAGGAUAAGGAUUCUGAAAAGGAGGAAGACAAAGAAGAAGAGGAGGAUGGGUACCCCCAAGUUAAUGCCACCCUGGUGAUUUUUGCUGAUGUCGAGAGCAAAAGUCGACUGAAAGUCAUUAACCGGGAAGUGAACAUGGUCGCUCCGGCGACACCCAAGUAUAUGAAAUGGUCAAAGACUCCUAUCACAUUCGAUCACUCGGACCACCCUCCGCGAGUGGCUACCCCUGGGCGGCAGGCGCUGGUGGUCGACCCUGUUGUUGGAGGCACCCGAUUGACCAAAGUUCUGAUGGAUGGCGGCAGUGGCCUCAAUAUUCUGUAUGCCGGAGCUCUUAAAGGAAUGGGCAUUCCGAUGUCUAAACUAAGCGAGAGUAACAUGAGGUCCCACGGAGUCAUCCGUGGAAAGAAAGCUGAGUCACUCGUCCAGAUAGCUCUCGAUGUGGUUUUCGGCGAUGAGAAGAAUUACCGCAAAGAGAAGUUGUUUGAAGUUGUGGAUUUUGAAAGUGCGUAUCAUGCCAUUCUGGGAGACCUGCCUAUGCCAGCUUCAUGGCUUGACCAUGCUACGUGUACCUCAAAAUGAAGAUGCCUGACCCCAAAGGCGUGAUUACCGUCUGUGGUAACCGGAAGAAAGCGGAGGAUUGCCUCCAAGAUGGUGCAAAGAUAGCAGAUGAGCAGAUGGCAGUGGUGGAGUUCCAAGAGCACAAGAGGACGGUAGAUCCGAGUGAUUUGCUGCGUGCCAAGAGGCCUGCCUCGGAGUCUGUGUUCCAGUCGGUCGGGGAAACCAAACCAGUUCACAUCCACCCGACCGACCCCAAUGCUGCUCCGACUCAUAUUCCACAAUGCUCGACAGCAAAUAGGAAGCCGCGCUCAUCUAGUUCCUCCAUGAGAACUGGGACAUCUUAGCAUGGAAGUCGUCUGACAUGCCAGGUGUACCCAGGGGACUAGCUGAGCACCGUUUGCGCGUCGACUCAAAAGAAAAAUCGGUCAAAGAGCAUCUUCGUCGGUCCGCCACGGAGAAAAGGAAAGCCAUUGGCGAAGAAGUGGCUAGACUCCUGGCCGCAGAGUUCAUUCGCGAGAUCUAGCACUCCGAGUGGCUCGCGAAUGUUGUUAUGGUUCCUAAGAAAGACAAAUCACUACGAAUGUGCAUUGACUUCAAGAACAUCAAUCGGGCCUGCCCAAAGGAUUAUUUUCUGCUGCCCCGCAUCGACCAGAUAGUCGACUUGACUGCAGGGUGCGAGCGACUGUCCUUGCUGGACGCCUAUUCCGGGUACCAUCAGAUCCGACUGUUUGGACCCGAUGAGAUCAAGACUGCCUUCAUCACCCCGUUCGGGUGUUUUUGUUAUGUCACCAUGCCCUUUGGCCUCAAAAAUGCUGGCGCCACGUUCAUGCGCAUGAACCAGAAGUGUAUGCUUACUCAGAUCAGUCGGAACAUGGAAGCUUACAUGGAUGACAUCGUGGUUAAGUCACGCAAAGGUUCCGACCUGCUGACUGACCUUGCUGAAACCUUUGCCAAACUGAGAAGGUACGAUAUCAAGCUCAAUCCAUCAAAAUGCACAUUCGGAGUCCCAGGCAGAAAGUUACUCGGUUUUCUCGUUUCUGAACGAGGAAUCGAUGCAAAUCCAGAGAAGAUCGGCACAAUCCUUCGAAUGAAAUGCCCAGUGCGAGUGCAUGAUGUUCAGAAGCUCACUGGUUGCUUGGCUGCAUUGAGUCGAUUCAUCUCAUGCCUCGGUGAAAAGGCAUUGCCUCUUUUACCGACUGAUGAAGAAGUCUGACAAGUUCGAGUGGAAUGAUGAAGCCGAAGCAGCAUUUGAAGAGCUCAAAGCCCUGCUUUCCAUCCAGCCGGUGCUUGCUGCUCCAAUCAGCAAGGAGCCUCUUCUGCUUUACAUCGUAGUCACAAGACAAGUUGUCAGCACAGUGCUCAUAGUCGAGCGGGAAGAGGAAGGCAAAGCCUUCAAAGUUCAGCGCCCAGUCUAUUACAUUUCAGAAGUUUUGACCCCAUCCAAGCAGAGAUACCCUCACUAUCAGAAGCUUGUUUAUGGGAUUUACUUAACCAUGAAAAAGGUUGCACACUACUUCUCUGGUCAUUCAGUUUCAGUCGUCAAUGAUGCUCCUUUGUCAGAGAUUCUGAAUAACAGAGAUGCAACUGGUCGAGUGGCUAAAUGGGCAAUUGAACUUCUUCCAUUGGAAUCAAGUUUGAGGCAAAGAAGGCCAUCAAGUCUCAAGCAAUUGCAGACUUCCUCGUAGAGUGGACAGAAUAACAACAGCCGACUCAAAUCCAGUCGGAACAUUGGACCAUGUUCUAUGAUGGGUCCAAAAUGUUGAAUGGCUUUGGUGCAGGAGUGGUUUUAGUAUCCCCACGAGGAGACAAGCUCAGUUAUGUCCUUCAGAUUCACUUUGAUUCUUCCAACAAUGAAGCUGAAUACGAAGCACUUUUAUAUGGAUUGCGUAUGGCCAUCUCACUCGGUGUCCGGCGCCUGAUGGUCUAGGUGACUCAGAUUCAGUAGUCAAUCAAGUGAUGAAAGAAUGGGAUGUCAGGAGCCCUGCAAUGACUGGUUACUGCAAUGCAGUGAGAAAGUUGGAGAAGAAGUUUGAGGGGUUAGAGCUCCACCACAUACCCCGACUCAAGAAUCAAGCGGCGGAUGAUCUGGCCAAGAUAGGUUCCACUCGGAAGCCUAUCCCCAGUAAUGUGUUCUUGGAACAUCUCCAUACCCCAUCCAUACAAGAGGAUCCCUUCAUAGAAGAGCCCCCGCAAUAGAUAAGUUCAACCAACCCGACUGAGAUUGAGAUUCCAGCCGUGGUCGACCUGAUCGUGGAAGUCCUAGUGAUCACGCCCGACUGGACAAUGCCGUACAUUGCGUACAUUCUCAGAAAGGAGCUCCCAGAAGACGAAAACGAAGCCCAUCAGAUAGUCUGUCGAUCCAAAGCCUUUACAGUGACGAAAGAUCAGCUUUACGGAGAAGGUGUCACAGGAGUAGCCCAGCGCUGCAUCACCCCUGAAGAAGGUCGAAUGAUCUUAAAUGACAUCCACUCGGGGACCUGUGGUCACCAUGCGUCCUCUCGGACCAUCGUGGCCAAAGCAUAUCGAGCGGGAUUCUAUUGGCCUCGAGCAAACAAAAUGGCAAAGGAUAUAGUCGACAAGUGUGUAGCUGCCAGUUCUAUUCCAACAUGUCCCGCAAGCCAACAUCCGCCUUGAAGACUAUUCCUCUUGUCUGGCCGUUCACAGUCUGGGGUUUAGAUAUGGUCGGACCCUUCAAGACCGGCAUGAGUGGUUUCACCCAUGUGCUCGUAGCAGUCGAUAAGUUUACCAAGUGGAUUGAAGCUAAACCCAUCAAAAACCUCAACGCAAGCACCACUGUCAGUUUCAUCAAGGAGUUGAUAUUCAGAUAUGGAGUCCCUCACAGCAUUAUCACGGAUAAUGGCUCCAACUCUGAUUCUGACGAGUUCAGGGCGUUUUGUGCGACCCAAGGCACUUGGGUCAAUUAUGCGUCAGUCGCGCAUCCUUAGUCGAAUGGUCAAGCGGAAAGGGCGAAUUAUUUGAUUAUCCAAGGAUUAAAACCCCACUUGAUGCAUGAUCUCAAGCAUGCUGCUGGAGCCUGGGUAACCGAGUUGCCUUCCAUCUUAUGGGGGAUGAGAACAACACCGAAUCGGUCGACUGGCCGGACUCCUUUCUUCUUGGUGUACGAUGUAGAGGCCGUGCUCCCGAGUGAUUUGCUGCACAAUGCCCCCAGAGUGGAACUCUUCAUAGAAGCCGAGGCAGAACAAGCACAAGAAUACACCGUUGAUCUCCUGGAGGAAGAGCGCGAGAUGGCUUUGAUCCGGUCGACCAUCUACCAGCAAGACAUGCGUCGACUCCACGCCCGAAACGUCAGAGGAUGAGCAUUCCAAGAGAGAGACAUGGUUCUUCGAGUGGAUCAGAAGCGACCUCACAAGCUUACCCCGACCUGGGAAGGCCCCUUCAUCAUCACCAAGGUGCUUCACAAUGGAGCCUACCACAUCUACAACAUAGCCAAGAAGAUAGAUGAGCCACGAGCAUGGAACGCAGAGCUGCUCCGUCACUUCUACACAUAGAUCACUCGACCUGACGAGUUGUAAUAAAAGUGUUUCAGUUUGCUUUCCGAAGACAAGAUGUUUUCAAUAUCAUAAUGAUCAGUUUCCUAUAAGCAUCUGUGUCUAAAAUCCCCCAGCGGGUAGCUUAGCCGCGAAUCCGGUUCGCCUAAGUUAAAAAACACUCCGACUGGAGAGCAACCUUCCCACUCAGGGGCUUAGCCGCAAAUCCGAUUCGCCUAAGUUAAAAAACAUUCCGAGUGGAGAGCAACCCUCCCACUCGGGGGCUUAGCCACGAAUCCGAUUCGCCCAAGUUAAAAAAAAACACUCCAAGUGGAGAGCAACCCUCCCACUCGGCGGCUUAGCUGCGACCCCGUAAUCGCCUAAGUUAAAAAACACUCGGAGUGGNNNNNNNNNNNNNNNNNNNNNNNNNNNNNNNNNNNNNNNNNNNNNNNNNNNNNNNNNNNNNNNNNNNNNNNNNNNNNNNNNNNNNNNNNNNNNNNNNNNNNNNNNNNNNNNNNNNNNNNNNNNNNNNNNNNNNNNNNNNNNNNNNNNNNNNNNNNNNNNNNNNNNNNNNNNNNNNNNNNNNNNNNNNNNNNNNNNNNNNNNNNNNNNNNNNNNNNNNNNNNNNNNNNNNNNNNNNNNNNNNNNNNNNNNNNNNNNNNNNNNNNNNNNNNNNNNNNNNNNNNNNNNNNNNNNNNNNNNNNNNNNNNNNNNNNNNNUAAGUUAAAAACAUAUCCGAGUGGAGAUAAACCCUCCCACUCAGGGGUUAGCUGUGACCCCGUAAUCGCCUAAGUUAAAAACAUUUCCGAGUGGAGUGCAAUCCUCCCACUCGGGGGCUUAGCUCCGACCCCGUAAUCACCUAAGUUAAAAACAUUUCCGAGUGGAGAGCGAUCCUCCCACUCGGGGGCUUAGCUGCGACCCCGUAAUCGCCUAAGUUAAAAACAUUUCGUGUGAAGAGCAAUCCUCCCACUCGGGGGCUUAGCCGCGACCCUGUAAUCGCCUAAGUUAAAAACACUCCGAGUGGAGAGCAAUCCUCCCACUCGGAGACUUCACCACCACACGUACAACAUGCGCUCCAUCCCUAUCCGCAGGGACGAAGAGGUGUGAUUGAACACCUCUGAGCUGCGCCGCAAAUACAACAUGCGUUCCAUCCCUAUCCGUAGGGACGGCGAGGCGUCGACCGAGCAUUACCUCUGAGCUACGCCACAAAUACAAUGUUCCAUCUCAACCCACAAGGACGACAAGGUGUCGAUUGAACACCGCGACUGAGCUCUGCCACAAGUACAAUGUACUUUCAUUCGGCAAAGGGUGAGAAUAUCAAGUCCCCUUGGGACCAAGGGACAAUCAGAAAUAGUUUAAGAAACCAAGCAAAAGCCACGAUAUUCAAAGAAAUCCAAGUUCGAAUAAACCCUGCAAAAGUUCAGAACUGCAGCGGGAAAGAGUACUCGGGCAUCAAGCCCGAAAGAGUUUAAUGAUUAUAUGAUCACUCGGCAUUCCGAGGCAAAUAAAUGUGGUGCAUAAUAUUUUUCGAUCACUCGUCAAGAGAGGGGUUGGCUGGAUCACAGAAGCUGUCAAGGUCAAUGCUGUCUGCAAUGCGAGUGGCAGCCUCGAGGAAGGUGUCCAUGAAGGACUGGAAGGUGUGCUUCUUAGUGUUCACAACCUUGAGGGCCGCCAGCUUGUCUUCUCUGGCAUCUUUGCAGUGCACUCGGACCAAUGACAUGGCGACAUCAGCGCCACAGCGAGCAGAUGAUUUCUUCCAUUCCUGCACUCGGCCAGGGAUCUGGUUCAGUUGAGUCAUUAGCGACUCGAGAUCUUGUGAAAGUUCCGCGUGAGGCCAGAGUUCGGCAUCAACAAGUAAUCGCCGCCUUUAGUCGAGCCUGAUAAGCAACAACACUGUCCAUGCGUGAUUCCAACCGCAGAAAGCUCAUCGCAACAUCAUCUUUAAUAGGACAAUUGAUGGGGUCGAGAUCCGUCUCAACCCUCCCAGUCUCAGCCUCAAAGUCCUGGCAAAGUUCUGCACAAUCGAGGAAAAUGGUGAGUCGAUAGUAUAACAAGACAUUCCAAUCGACGGCAACCAAUCAGUCGAACGAUGAUACCUUCAAGCUUCAGGACCAGUUUUGCAGCAAGUUGUCCUAGAUAGGACUCCAGCUCGCCCGUCUUGGCUUUGAGGCUUACGACUUCAUUGGUCAGGUUCUCCUUGUCUUUCUUUAGUUGCUCGACCUCCCGAUUGGCAUCAGAGAUGGCAGUCUUCAGCUUCGAGUUCUCCUCUUCCAACUUGCUGACCGAAGCUAGCUUCUUGUCCGCAAGCGCCAUUUUCUCUCGCGGCUCCUUCUGAGCAGCAGCAAGGUCCAGAUCCUUCUUCUCCAGAGCUUCCUUCAUUCUCUCUAAAGAAAAAACACUCUUCAGACGAGCUUGAAGCUGACGGUUUUCACUACGCACAUAUGUUCGUGUGAAGUCGAGCCAUGAGGUGGGCAAGUGUCGAUUGGUUACCUCCCAUGAUGGAUGUUUCUUCCUGAGCAUUCUUGAGGUUCUUCUUCGCCAGUUCAAGAUCAAGAUUGAGGCUGAUUUGCUGCUUGUUCAACUCAGAAAGUUGAGCCCCAAGAUCACAAGAGCUCUGCUGUGAGCGAAAGAGAAAUAUCAGUCGACAGAAAGACAAUCAUAGUGAAAGUUACUCUAAAACUACUACUGAAUCAAACAUUCAACAGUAGUCUCGGGGACUACACCCAGUGGGUGCACUUAGCAUGCCCCCAUUGGUUUGGAUCAACACUCAGCAUGGUCUGCCAGCUUGAGUCAAAAAAAAGAGAGUAGAUUCUCAGACCCAAGUCGACUGCCAGUAGUCGACCGUGGUCUCGGGAACUACACCCAGUGGGUGCACUUAGCGUGCCCCCACUGGUUUGGAUCAACACUCGACUCAGCAACUGUCGAGUGGAGUGGAAGACAUAUUAAACUCCAAGGCAAGCACACCCCAGUGGGUGAUCGGAUACGAAACACAAACCCAUGAUAGUAGAUGCACAUAUGGGCAGUGAAGCAACAACGGCAGUUUUUUAUGAUUCAAAAGUUCAGUCCGGAGUUAACUGGCCUUGACGUUGGUCUGCAGAGCGGUGCUGGCGUUAUAGGCCACCUGACUGGCCUCGUGCAUCACCUUCACUUGUUCCAUAACAAGAUUCACCUGGCGAACAGCCUCCCUGGCGGCACUCGGCGAGUCAUCUGGAGUUUGGUAUAUAGCAAAGAGUGAUGGCGCCAAGGCGACCGAAGCAUCCACUGGGUCAGACGCAUGGAGUUGCACUGGAGCACCAGGAGUCGGAGCAGUCGACCCUGAUGGGUGAUCAGUCGUCAGCGGGUCGGCGAAUGUGACGUUGAUCCGAACCGGAUCUCCAGAUCGCUCGACUGACGUCUCAAGCACUGGCGUCGACUGAGGGGCUUGAACCUCAAGCACUCUCCCGCUCGAGCCCUUGCCUCUCCUCCUCCUCCUCUCCCUCAGAGGCACUUCUUCUUCUUCAUCAUCAAGAAGCACGACAACGUCUCGUGGAGCUGCAGCAAAAAGGAAAAACAUCAGAAAUUCAACUGACCGACAAUUCAAUAGACGAAAUAAGUUUUAAUCAAGCGGACUUACCAGCUCUGGAGGUGGCCGCGUCGUCGGUCUCCUCAUCUCCUGGGGCCUUGUCAAUGUCCAUGUCAGUCGCGGCAGAGGUUGGGCUGGAAAGAUGCAUGAUCCACUCGGUAACCAACCGAAAUGCCAAUCGGAAGAAAGGAAUGCAGAAAGAUAAAAUUCUCACCCAGAGGCAACUGGAACAGCCAUCUUGAUCCUCGGCAGAGUCUUCCGAGUCUUCGGGGGCACAACCUUGGGCUGCUUGGCCACCUUCUCAGUCGGCUCCAGAGUCGACGUCCGAGUCCGCUUCUGCAUUUGGGUACUAGAAGCCACGGCCUUGCCCCGCUCGCCUGCUGGAUUGUGAUGCUAUUUGGAUCGGCGCUCCGAGCGUGGCGGCGAGUCGACCCCCUCGUCGUCGUCUGCCUCGUCGCUCUCCUCUUCGUCGUCACCGUCCGAAUACUACCACUCGCCACUCUCGUCUGCGUUGUCUUCCCCUUCCUGGUCCUGCCCCAGGGUUUUCUCGCCGUUAGGCAUGGAAUACAUCUCAGUAUAAACCUACAAAACAAGAAGUCAAGUGAAUUCCAGUUGGUGCCAGAGACAGAUGCAAGAUACACAAGAAAUCAGUCGGAGGCAGAAGUUCGAACCUUGUCUGGUGGAUUGCUGUCACUAAAGGGAAUGACCCUCCUUCCCCCCUGGGGUUGUCCUUGUUACCCGUGAUGCUCUUCAACCAUCCAGCCACCGUCUUGGCCGAGACUUCCUAUGGAUGAACCCGAGCGGUGUCAUUGGCACCAGAGUACAUCCACAUCGAGUGAUCCCGAGCCUGAAGCGGCUAGAUGUGUCAACUGAGAGACACCUCCAGUAGGUCCAUCCCGGUCACACCCUGAUUAAUUAGCUGUACCACCCUCUCGACCAGCAUAUCCGUCUCCACCCUUUCCGCAACAGUCACUUUCAGCGAGGAAGGAAUUUGAACACGAUCGAAGGACAAAGGGGGAAAUCCAAUCGACUGGCCCGGGGUGGGGACGUCCUGGCUGUAGAACCAGGUCGACUGCCAGCCCCUGACCGACUUAGGAAGAGCCAUGGAAGGGAAGGAGCUCCUCUUCCUCUUCUGGAUUCUCAAACCACCACACAUUUGGAUAACGUGUGUUUUCUCGUCACUUGAGUUUGCCUUUUUAACCGACUGGGAACAGAUGGUGAAGAUGUGUUUAAAGAGGCCCCAGUGCGGUCGACAGCCAAGGAAAUUCUCACACAUGGAAACAAACACCGCGAGAUAGGUGAUGGUGUUGGGAGAGAAAUGAUGAAAUUGGGCUCCGAAGAAGUUCAGAAAACCCCGGAAAAAGGGGUGCGGAGGAAGCGAAAAACCACGGUCGACGUGGGUGGCGAGCAGUACGCACUCACCCGGUCGUGGCUGCAGCUCCGUCUCCCCCUCCGACAACCUCGUGGCGCCGUUGGCGAUCAGCCCGAGCUCGGCUAGCUCGUCCAGGUCUUCUUGCCGGAGCGAGGAUCGGAUCCAUUCGCCCUGGAUCCAACCCGUCGGCAACGCCGACCGCGACGACGACCCUUGCUAGGUCUUCUUGCCCUUCGCCGCUCCCGUCGCCUUCUUCACGCGUUCCAGCACCGCCGUCUUGUCCUUCACCAUUGCGGCGGAGUGGUGGCGUCGAGAGCGGAGGAGCUACGCGCGGCGGAGAAGUAGAGGAGAAAGGGGGAGAUUGGGAGUGCACAGUACAAUGCCUCGGCCUCGUCGCCUUUUAAAGGCCCACUUCCGAGUGGCUGACGCGCGAGCCCGGGCGAUCCUAUCAAAUCCCCGCAGUAGUCGCACGCCGGAUACAUGGGAAAAAAGGUGGCACGGUGAUCGAGGCAUUCCUACUUAUCCGUCUCGAUUACCGCGGCACGCUCCGCGCCGCGCACUUCCCCGAAAUUUCGAAUCCCGCCAAAUCCGGGAUAUGCAAUAACCGAUCGCGCCGGAGAUCUCGCAACAGAAGACAACGAUCGACAGAUGAUGCUACUAAUUCACUCGGCAACUUCUUAAUCGAUCGAGGCAACUGAAAUGAAGCUGAAGUUCCAAUGCGAACCUCCCAUUCAACGUAAGUACUCGUGAAGCACAAAGGUUGAAGAGAAAUCCACUUCAAUCUUCUUUCCACUCGAUCCUCAAUCCAUUUGGGGGCUAGUGAUGAGGCUAUAGACCUAGAGUAGGGUCAUAGGCCUGACCAACAUACCCUACCCAAAGUCACUACCCUAGAGGCAAAGAAGCUCAAGGGACAACAGGGAGUACCCAAGGAAGACGUCGAGUGCAAGCCACUCGACCAACCAUAUCACUCGGGUAUCCCACCUUUUCGAAGACCACUCGACCAUACAAGAAACCACUCGACCUAUGAAGACCAGGAGUCACCCGGAACUGCAAUGGUCGGACAUUCACUCCGUAGUCUUCAUGGACAUUAAUGACACUUAUAGCUGGCGUUAUCAGUAACGCCCCUCCUUUAUGUACAUUGAACCCUCUGUAACGGAGGGAAGCUAGGGUCCUGACGCACUCUAUAUAAGCCACCCCCUCCUCUGGGACAAGGGUUCGCACCCCCUGUAACACACAUGCAUAUACUGAAAUCCAGUCGACCGCCUCCGGGCACCGAGACGUAGGGAUUUUACCUCCUCUGAGAGGGGCCUGAACUCGUAAACACUUGCGUACAACCUCACCGUAGCUAGGACCUUGCCUCCUCCUACGUACCCCCUAUUCUUAUUGUCAGUCUUAGUACCACGACACAUGCCUCGGUCGGAGACGGUUUAGAUCCUUGUGUACCUUUGUUUUUCCUUGGUCACACAAGAUAGUUGGUGCCCUGGUCAGUGAUACUAGAUCCCCCAUCAUUUUUUAUGCUGGAGAUCCUUGCAUAGUUGCGUACCUUUUUACUUUCAAACGAAAUUGACAAUAGUUGCCUGAAUGGGCUUCAUACAAAUUUUUCAGUAGGCUAACCUUCAAGUUUAAGGAAGCACCAAGUUUCCUUUUGCUUCAAGAUAACCCUAUGAGCAAAAGAAAAAAGGAUCACAUAAUUUUCUUAUCAGACACGGGCUAUGAUGGCUUGCAAAAUACACAGUGUAGAAUAACACAUUCAUGUAAGUAUCCUAAUAGUUAUCUUUCCAACGAAGGGCAGAUGAGAGUAUUGUGGGUGGCAUUUCAGUCACACACAAGUUGUCAUAGAUCUUGUACGAAGUUGUUGUCUAAAAAUCUGCAGAAUGUAUUAUUGUCGUGUGAAACAAAUUACCAUGGUUCUACAAGAGUUGAUUAUUGCAGCGAGAAUAAUAAAGAGGUUGAAAAUAAAUUUGCAUAAAGUAAAUCAGUUGAAAAUAAAGAGGCUAGGCAUGGAGAAACUUCAGAUCAUGAUGUACAUCAAGUGUGCCAUUGCGACGGUAAUACCAAUUGCCCUGUAUUGUGAUUCUAGCGCGUAGAUUAUUUGUUCUGUAGGCGGUUCACCUUUGAGUGGUCGAACUCCUCCAUGCCAAAAUUGUUCUCCUUUAUAGCCCUGCUUCGACAUUGCAAUAACAUGAUCAUUUACACAAUACACAAUUAAGGCCGUGAGGCCGGAACAAUGCAUUAGGUUUCAUGGAUCCAUGUUAUCUCAUAAUGUCUUCCGUGCUCAUAGAUACCAACACCCGUCACAUGAAGGUUAGAGAUUCACUAAACAAUAUGUGUUACCUACAUAGGUCCUCUAUCCAAGCUUCCUCCCUAGCGGUUUUCCUCGUCUUGGGCUGGCCUCUCUUCUUGUCUGCAGUUUGGCGUACCUCUGUCCUGGCGAUGAGGGUCAAACGAUGUGGUCCGUGUGUGGCUCUACGGUGUCUUCCUCGUUGGUUCAGCCCAACCCCGAUGACUUUGGAUAGGCAUUCUCUCUAGUGUCGACGGCUCAUCGGUGUCUUGUGCUGGUGCGGCUCCAACCUCGGCGAUCUUGAAGUUGUGUUCCUCCAGCUUCUCUGGCUCGCCGGCGUCCCGGUGGCUCCUGCCCGAUUAUAUGGAUCUGUGUUCGCCUCUAUAGACUUGGCUCGCAGGCAUCAUUUACUGCCGUCAUCACCUCCGGCGACACACUUGCCCAAACACCUCUCCUACCUAGUCCACCUCCAUGCCUCGUCCUUUUCCUACCAGAUCCAAAUCUCGCGCUUCCGGCGGCGCUUAGUUUCACAUUCUUCUUCGGUGACAGGCGCCCCCCUGCGAUGGUAGUUCUAGCCAAUGGCCUAGUCUCGACUCCGAAGUCUGAUCCGAUAACCGUGGGAUUGCUUGGACAUAGGCCAGAGCAAAAUCCCCGCUCGACUUACCGAUGCUAGCAGCGGCGACACCUACGGAUGUUUUCCCCUUCUUGGAGGCAUUGUCAUGGCCUUCUUUGACACCCUCCUUCGAGCACCGGGGGAAACCCCAUGUCCGUUUCAUUGAAUUGGAUGAUGAUGGCGUCGUUCCCUUUCAUGAAGGCAUUGUCUUGGUGGCUCGUUGUGUCCCCGAUGUCGGAUUUGAUGUUUUGGGCGUCGUGUUUGUUUUGGCUGCUUCGCAUUGUGUUGUACCCCCUUCAUGGUUGAGCAUCCCAUAUUUCUCUCCUCUGGGAGCCAUAUUCUCUCCUCCUUCUACCAAUGAAAUGAUAUGCAAGCUUUGUGUAUUCUCAAAAAAUGUGAUUCUAGAAAAAUCCUUAAUACCACAUACAUGGAAGCACCUUGGGCUUGUUUAUGAAUAACUAGUGUGUACGUGCAAUGCACGUGUAUGUAAGGCAAUAUAUUAAUUGCACGCGGAUAUUAUGUAGCAUGUUAUUUAUGUGUUAAUUAUGUAAUUAUUGCUAUAUUUCAUAUGAUAUUAAUUGCAUGUUAAACAUGUUGAGUGCUCGCCAUUGGAGCAGUCUUGGUCGUUGGAUUGAUCGGACUUGAUAGCCGAGAUUAGUUGGAUCUGCCUCUUUGGUUCUUUUCAUAUUGGUAUAGAUAUAGAUUUGUGAACAUAUGGCAUACUAUAACAUGUGAACUUGUAAAAUUUCGUGCGAUAAUUUCACCAUCUAUGGCCUGCAAAAAGAAAAUAAAUGAACUUUGUCAAUUGCAUUAUUAUUUACUUACUUUAUUUCUAACCAGAACUUUAUUUCUAACCAGACAACACUUGCUCAUUUUUUAUAAAAAACUCUGUAUGUUCAUGAAGUUACAUCCACUAUUUUUCAUAUUUAAAGGAUACGAUAUCAAUACACACAACACAUAUUUAUUAGUAUUUUACAUGUCGAUAGUUUGUUCUGCGAACUUGGUCAUUCAUAGACAUGUUUGACUUUUGAAAAACAAGAUUUGCACCACAUUUUANNNNNNNNNNNNNNNNNNNNNNNNNNNNNNNNNNNNNNNNNNNNNNNNNNNNNNNNNNNNNNNNNNNNNNNNNNNNNNNNNNNNNNNNNNNNNNNNNNNNNNNNNNNNNNNNNNNNNNNNNNNNNNNNNNNNNNNNNNNNNNNNNNNNNNNNNNNNNNNNNNNNNNNNNNNNNNNNNNNNNNNNNNNNNNNNNNNNNNNNNNNNNNNNNNNNNNNNNNNNNNNNNNNNNNNNNNNNNNNNNNNNNNNNNNNNNNNNNNNNNNNNNNNNNNNNNNNNNNNNNNNNNNNNNNNNNNNNNNNNNNNNNNNNNNNNNNNNNNNNNNNNNNNNNNNCACCAUCUAUGACCUGAAAAUGAAAAUAAAUAGACAUUUUCAGCUGCAUUAUUAUUUACUACUUAUUUUUCUGUACUGUACUGGACCACACUUGCUCAUAUUUUUGAAUGAAAAUUGUAGGUUCUGCUAUUUUCUUUCUUUCAUACUUCCUGGGUUUUUUUGAAGUGCAUCUACGCCAAGCACAUGUUAAUACGUGACUUUUUGAUUCACAGAAUUUGAAAAAUGCAUGAAUAAGAAAAGAAAAACACAAGAAUACAUUGUCAUGACACAUUAAAUACUACUUGAUUGUCUAUAGAGAAAACAUGAUUCUUCACGUGAAUUUGCUGUGGGUGCAUUUUUUUCCUACUAGAAUCUAUGCCAUAUGUAUUAGUGAUCUAAACGAUCUUAUAUUUCUUUACGGAGGGAGUACAAUCCUACCAAUGAAAGCGCUCCCAACAAAGUAUCAUAAAAGAUAGUAAGGCCAUCUCCACCGCGCGACCCCAUCUUGUCCGGGUGCGUCCGCUUGGGGUAGAACGGAUGAAUAGUGCGGCCCAACGCGCGGCCCCAAACGGACAAAUGCCCGGAAUCCAUCCGUUUUCAACCCAUCCCGGGCCCAAAUUUGCGCCGAGUUUGGGGUGAAACAGACAUCGCACGGACGGGCUCGCCGCACGCCCUUGUCACCCCGUGGCCCGCCUGUCGGGAACACAAGUAGUCCCAUUCGAUUCGAACGCCUCCAUCCCCCUCCCGCGCCCUGCCCCACCGACGGCGCCGCCGCUAUUCUCGGGCCGCCUUCUCCACGCAACCCCUGGCCGUCCAUAGCUAACCACGUCUCGACAUGGCCGCCACCACGCCCGCGCUUUCGUCGUAGUUUAGGCCAUCGAUCAGAGGAGGUUUGGCCGUCGCCGUCAUAGCCGGCGGCAGAGGGGAUACGACCGCAGGCGACGUACCACGGCGACCACGACAACUUCCGACGACUGCUCCAGAGCGGCCAGUAGCUGGCCGCCAACCACACCUGCAUCGAGGUGAUCAUCGCGGCCACUUUGCCACCACGACCGCACGGUGUUCGACACUUUGCCCACAAAGGUAUGGACAGUGGUGAUGAGUUUUUCUUCCACCACUUCAUUUGUUCAUCGGAUGAUUCGUCGUCGGAUGAUGAAGAUCUUGUGGUGGCUGCACUGGUGGUUCACGACCAAAUUCAACGAAAACUUCCUCGGCAUAGGGGGUUAGUCCCUAGCCGUGCUCCCAACCUGAACCAGAACAGGGAGAGAGGCCACACCCUACUCUAUGCCGAUUACUUUGCGAACACCCCGCUUUUCAAGCCGGAUAAACUCCGUCGCCGUUUCUAUGUGGCAAGGCAUGUGUUCAAUCAUAUCCGAGAGGGUGUGGUUGCUCACGACCCAUACUUCGAGUGCAAGACGGAUGCCCAUGGCAAGCUUGGAUUCUCCUCUUAUCAGAAAUGCACUGCGGCCAUCCGCAUGCUUGCAUACGGAAUUCCAGGCGAUCUGGUGGAUGAGUAUGUGCGUAUGAGUGAGACAACAUGUCUGAUGUCAAUGUACAAGUUCUGCCAGUCUGUGAUCGAGGUGUUUGGCCCUGAGUACUUGAGGCAGCCAACUGCCGCUGAUACAGAGAGAUUGUUGGCGACCAACACAGCUAGAGACUUUCCAGGCGUGCUUGGCAGCAUAGAUUGUAUGCACUGAGAGUGGAAGAACUGUCCAUUUGCUUGGCAGGGCCAGUACAAGGGGCAUGUCGAAGCUUGCACUGUCAUAUUAGAAGCGGUGGCUUCGCAGGAUCUUUGGAUAUGACAUUGUUUCUUCGGCAUGGCAGGUUCUCACAAUGAUAUCAACGUGCUGCAGCAUUCUCCAGUCUUCGCAAGGCUUGCAGCAGGCCACUCCCCACCUGUCAACUUUGAGAUCAACGACCACCAGUACAACAAGGGAUACUGUCUAGCUGAUGGUAUACAUCCUCAGUGGUCAACUUUUGUGAAUACAAUCUCGAAGCCCCAAGGUGAGAAGAGAAAGAGAUUUGCUAAAAUGCAAGAGAUUGCUAGAAAGGAUGUGGAACGUGCUUUUGGUGUGCUUCAAUCCCGAUGGGGUAUCGUUCGAUACCCUGCACUGUCAUGGGAUGAAAGGAAGCUUUGGAAGGUGAUGACUGCUUGUGUGAUCAUGCACAACAUGAUCGUCGAGGACGAGCGUGAUGACAGUAUCUUCGACCAAGGAUUUGAUUUCAAGGUGACAAUGUUGAGCCCCUGCAUCAAGAACCGGCCACGUUUGAUCAGUUUGUCCAGUUUCAUCGUGAGCUGCGUGAUUGACACACUCAUUUGGAUUUUCAAGAUGACUUGGUUGAGCACGUGUGGGAUCAUAUUGGCAAUCAAUAGAUGUAUCGGUUCAUUUUAUGUUUAUUCAAGACAAUUUCAAUUUGGUUCUAAAACUAUUUUUAUUAAAAACAAGUUCGAUUGGGUUGUAAAACUAUUUUAAUUUUUAAACAAUUAAUAUUUGGAUGUGCAAACUUGUUUUGAUAUGAAAAUAUGGGCCUGCCGGACGGGAUGGGCAAACUGAUGUGGCCGCGCGCUGGGCGCACGGCCACCGCAUCCCAGGACAGGCCCAGACACGAUCCCAUCGCCCUACCCAAACGGACUGAAUCCGGGCAAAACGGACGUCAGUUUGGGGUCGCGCGGUGGAGUUGGCCUAAUAGGAAGUUCUUAAGAAAAAAAAUCCGUGGAAACUAUUAGUACAGAUGAAGCAUAAGAAGGAAAAAUCCUAUAGAUUACAAUUCUACCAAUCAAAGAGCCCUAACAAAGUGUAUCAUAAGCCCGCAAAAAAAGUUGUAUCAUAAAAAACAACAAACAACACCAAAUCGUAGGCCUGAAGCAUGCUACAGCCCGGCGAUCAUUCUCACUCACGAGCACUCCCACUUACUAGCCAGCCAGCCGGCCACCCCGCUGGGGCUGGUGCGGCGGUGCAUGCGUGCGACCACUGUACACAGACCGCACGACACGAAGCAGACACGAGCUGAAAAAACAACUCUUUGCAGAGGCGAAAAGGCCGGGCCCACAUGCCGCUCCCUCCCUCGCAUGCACAGCGCCGUACAGGCUCGCUUGCUUGCUUGCCGUCUCCACCACUGCCCGCCCCGCGGAGCCAAAAGGGCGCGAUAAAAAGGCCCCGUCUUGAUGCGCCGUGGCCACGGGCGGCGAGCGGGCUUAAAAGGCGACCGAGAACCCCCAGUUUGACCGGGAAAGAAAGCAGCGGAUCGAUCGGAGCAGCCACUACCGUCCCUCCACCACCACCACCACCUCCUCCACCCACCUCCACGAAGCCAGCCAAGCGCGGCCGACGGCGACAUGUGGGAAGGGGGCGUGCACGGGAGCCACCAGGACGCCGCGCGCCUGCUGCCCCCCUGGCUCGGAGGAGGCCCGGCCGCGUUCGCCGACCCGGUCGGCACCGCGGUUGGGUCCGGGUUCGGGGUCGGCGGCUACGCCUGCGACGUCGUCGGGCAAGCAGGCGGGGUGUUCGGGUUCGGGUUCGAGGCGGCCGUGGUGGCGGCGCAGCAGCAGCAUCACCAGCAGCGCGCGGCGGAGGCGGCGGCGGCCGGGGGCAGCAAGGCCGUCGUGUCCGGGCUGCUCGGGAGCCUGCAGGCGGAGCUGGGCCGCAUGAACGCCGGGGAGAUCAUGGACGCCAAGGCGCUGGCCGCGUCGCGGAGCCACAGCGAGGCCGAGCGCCGCCGGCGGCAGCGGAUCAACGGGCACCUCGCCAGGCUCCGCAGCCUCCUCCCCAACACCACCAAGGUAAUACGUGAUUCGAUGAGCCGAUCAUCAUAUGUAUUUACGCGCGGACGCCUUCUCGAUCGUCUAAAACCAUAAAUUCUUCCACGCAUGCGCCAUCUUCCCGAUCCCUAAUUAUCACCUCACUCAUCUCGCGAUUGGUGGUCUUGUCCUAGGCUCCUCGUCCUAGCUGCUACUCGUUUGAUCUUCGAUCUUGCUGCCGCAAAUUACUACAGCCAAACUGUUAACUUGAUUCCUUUUUAUGUGCAUGGUGGCAGUCCUAGCUAAGCUAGGUGCUUCACCUAUAACGGCAAAGACGUGCAAGAUCAAUCCACAAUGGAAGAGUUGCAGCACGGAUCUUGCGGUCUUGUCUACAGGCUGCUACUGUGAUAACAGUAGUACCAAAACACAACGAAACAAGAAUCAGGGCUUGUAAACCGGCAGCUGGAGCUAACCUUCAUUUGCUAGGUCUUUCACGAAUAUGCGUAUAGCAAUACUAGGCUCGAUCAAUUUCACUAGCCUGCAUGAUGUAGCCUCUAGGUAGCUUGCUAGGAAGAUUUUCAUUGUCGAGAAAAAAAGGAACGCAUACUAACCUGUGGUAAAAAUUACGACAGAGCAAAAUAACCUGUGUUAAAGGUUGCAGUUUGCAUUGCAUCAUCCUUGCUUCUAGUCAAUUAGACAUGUUCUUCAUCCUUUGGUUCUACUCGAUCUAGCAGCAUGCUUAUAUUAAUUAUCUGGAGUACGUGCAUAUAGUGUUAAUUAUCUGGAGUUUCUGGAGUGAUACAUGGUAAACAUAUAUACAGUUAGGAAGGAAAAUUUGUCAUUAACUAACCAGGUGAUCUCCAUUAGUGGCAAUGGGGCAGGACGCACCCACGCGCCGCACGCCGUAUGUGCUCCCGUACUCGUGACAAGACUUGAGGGGCCGCCAGGGCAAGAAAUCUUUCAUACGCCGGGGAAACCGCUGCUUCUGCUGGGAGAGCAGGAGAAAAAAAAAAGAGCAAAGUGAGAGAGACAAUAAUGAACUCCGUAGAUACAUGACACCAGUCACGGCACCACGCGCACCUACACCCAUGCGUUCAUAGCUAAGCUAAAGCCCCAAAAGACAUGAGAAUGCAGCGGA
rnacentral:lncRNA from 1 species